CUGCUCGAAAAAACCAUUCAACAUAAGAUUGCUCUGCUAGGAAAACAUGAUAUCAGUAUCAAACUUUUGAACAAAGAGUUCAGCAUCAAGUCUCAGUCAUCUUGAGAUUUGAAUGCCCAAACAUAUUCAGAUGCUCAUAAAAUAACAUUUUUAAUAAUGCAUUAUGCAAUAGAAACAGAACAUCAAACAAAGAGUUCAGCAUCUUACGCAUGAAAGUCCACACAUUAAACCAAAAGAAACACAAAUGGCCAAGCAAACAUACGCCCUUACUUCUGGAGGCUUGUACGAUAAUGGGCAAGCAACAUUAUUUUUUUGACUAUUAAGCAUCACCAUCACCAUCACCAUCACCAUCACCAUCUUCCUCUUCCUCUACUUCUUCUUCUGUCCACCCAUUAUCUCGGGUCCACUCUCUAUUAAUGCUUGAAUCUUCAGCUACUUCAGAUACCUGUAAACCAAUCAAGAAAAGAGAAAUUCAUAAAAAAAUUACAAAGAAAAGAGAAAAUUAGCGAAAGCCAUUCAACAUAAGAUUGCUCUGCUAGGGAAACAUGAUAUCAGUAUCAAACUUUUGAACAAAGAGUUCAGCAUCAAGUCUCAGUCAUCUGGAGAUUUGAAUGCCCAAAUAUAUUCACAUGCUCAUACAAUAACAUUUUUAAAAAUGCAUUAUGCAUUAGAAACAGAACAUCAAACUGCAGAGAAAACAUGCUGAUGCAGAAAAUACUCAAGUCGUAGAAAGGAGAAUGCAUGAAAGUCCACACAUUAAACAUUAUGCCUUUCUUUUUGAAGGUUCACACACUUCAAAAGAAACACAAAUGGGCAAGCAAUAUACGCCCUUACUUCUGGAGGCUUGUAAGAUAAUAAUGGGCAAGCAACAUUAUUUUUUUGAGGUUCGCACAGUAAUGACUAAAUACACAACAUUACAUUACUCCUGUGCUGUCAACAAUUCUUCUAACUUCUUCAGCAAACACAUAGAUAGAUAAGUCGAAAUCUUCUAUGGUAAAUAAGACUGUCACAAUGUGAAGCCAAUUUGUAUCCCGUUGCCAAUGGAACAGGAGGAAUUAUUUCCCACCAAUCUAAAACAUAUUCGCAGCACCAACCUUGAAAUCAUGUAAGAGCUAACCACCAUUCAACAUGAGAUUGUUCUGCUAGGAAAACAUGAUAUCAAACUUUUGAACAAAUAGUACACCAUCAAGUCCAAAUAUAUUCACAGCUCAAAGACAUGAGUCUCCAUCUUCUUUCCACCCCAUAUUUCUGGUCCACUCUCUAUUAAUGCUUGAAUCUUCAGCUACUUCAGGUACCUGUAAACCAAUUCAAGCAUGGCAUGCUCAUUUAACUUGUAAAUCUUAUUAUUGAGAGAAACAAGAAACAAACACACUAAAAGAGAGGCAAGAAAUCAAGUCAAAUCAGCAGCACCUCUGAUUGAGCAUUCAUUGAACCAUCUGGUGUAGUAGCAAAUUUUGUGGUCAGCUUUGGACAUUGAUGGACCUUCAACUUCUCCAAACGAGGGAAUAAGAAAUAAUCACACCAUCUGAAACUAAAACAGACAAUACUUGAUAAUUGUUCUAGCGACAACUCCUUUAGAUUAGGAAGCACUAUCUCCUUCUCAACGUUGAUAGGUGAAGCUUGACCAUCCUGCCCAGGAGACUCUGGAAUUAUUUCCCUUUCACCAUCCUCUUCUCUGAUAAUAUGCUUCAAUUGACCGCAUUUACUUAUGUAAAGUCUUUGUAGCUUUGGCAGACUUCGAGCGAGGGACGGUGUGAAGAUAAAUGUCAGUUUGUUGAGAGACUCCAAAUUCAGACGAUUAAGACUUUGGAGGCUGACAUGUCUAGAUGGCCCCUUCCAUAUACANNNNNNNNNNNNNNNNNNNNNNNNNNNNNNNNNNNNNNNNNNNNNNNNNNNNNNNNNNNNNNNNNNNNNNNNNNNNNNNNNNNNNNNNNNNNNNNNNNNNAAUACCUCUUCCAAUGAUUUACAGCUGUCAACAAUCACCUCCUUUAGAUUGUUCAAAGCUCGGAGCAAUUUUGCUGGAAACGGAGUGCGAACAUCCCCACAAUCGUCUACUCGUACAAAUUUUAAUCUUUGUAAGAAGCCGUUUUGCUGCCCAUGGACGGCCAUCUUAUCAGAGAACAAUAUUAUAUUUUUUCACUCUCAUAAAAACAAUUUAUAUGAUGUAUAAAUAGGAGAAAAAAAUAGAAAAAACAGGAUUAAAUACUUUUUUUUUGUCUUAAUUAGAGAUAAGUUGAAUAAUAAUUAGAUUUUUGCGAAAAAAGGUUAAUACAACUCCUAAUAAUUAGUUUCAUGUAAAAAAUAAAAAUAAAAAUAGUAGCUAAAAUUUUUAUUUUAGUUAUAAAGUUAAUAAAUUUUUAAAGAUAUUUUAAUUGAAUUAAAUAUUUGAACACAAAAGUUAUAUAUUAAAUCUAACAGAUAUUAUGAUUUCUAUGAUUAAUUUUUGGUAUUAAUAACGCAAACAACAAUGAGGCAGUUAAUUUUCUUAUAUUUAUAUAUGUUUAGAUAAAAAAACAAAUCAUAAAAAAAAAAAAUAAGCUACUAUGUUUGUUAUAUAAUUAAAAAAAAAAUUCAAACUUGGAUUUCCUAGCAUUUAUCAAUUACUUUACUUUUAGAAAUUGGGAGGAAGAAAGAAUAAAUUAUCGCAAUUGACAAUUUAAAUUAGUGGAGAAAUAUAAAUUACGUACUUGUAGCUGUGCCAACCAAUUACCCACUUCUUCGUGGCCUUCAAUGGUUAAGUCUAUGAUGCCAUCUCUGUUAUGAGACAAAGAGACUGGGAAGACAUAUUCCAGUUUACCACAGUGAGAUAUGCGGAGAGUUUUUAAUUUUGGGAAGCGAGGAGACUCUGGAAUUAUUUCCCUUUCACCAUCCUCUUCUCUGAUAAUAUGCUUCAAUUCACCACAAUCACUUACCUGAAGUCUUUUUAGCUGUGGUAGACUUUGAAGAGUUAGAGACACGGAGACAGGGAAGACAUAUUCCAGUUUACCACAGCCUUCUAUGAUGAUAGUUUUUAAUUUUGGGAAGCAAGGAGACUCUGGAAUUAUUUCCCUUUCACCAUCCUCUUCUCUGAUAAUAUGCUUCAAUUCACCGGAUUCACUUAUGCAAAGGGUUUCUAGCUUUGGCAGACUUUGAGCAAGGGACGGUGUGAAGAUAAAUGUCAUUUUGUCGAGAGAAUCCAAAUGCAGAUGAGCAAGACUGUGGAGGCUGACAUGUCUGGUGGGCCCCUUCCAUAUGCAUUUGAGCUCAGGUAACCGGUACAGCUUUAACUCUGUUAAAGAUGACAGCAACGGCAGCUCCUUCUCCUCACCCAAUUCAAAUACCUCUUCCACUGAUUUGCAGUCCUCAAUUUCCACCCUCCUUAGAUUUUUUAAACCUUGCUGCAAUCUUGCUGGAAACAGAGUGAAAACAUCCCCACAAUCCCUCACUUCUACAAAUUCUAAUUUAUGUAAAAACAAUUGCUCAAAUGUCUUCGCAUUUAAGGAUGUACCACCCAAAAUUAAUCUUGUGGAGGUUGGGUAUCCAUUAGAAUAAUAUUUAGUAGUAUUCCCUAACAUUAAAUCAUAUUUGAGCAAGCUGGGAAAAACAAAAUCUCUGGGAAUGCAUUCAACCUUCGGUAUCCUCAAUGAUAAUACGGCUAACUGAGACAACGAAUUUAGUUCUGUUAGGCUUGCAUUCAUUCCUCCUGUGCUGUCACAUCCAACAUCAUCCCAUCCCUUAAAGCUGUCUUUCCCGAUCAACAAUUCUUCUAACUUCUUCAACCUUCAAAUCAAAUUCACAGGGAUCCUUCUUAGACUUCGACAACCUGUCACAUCCAACAACCUUAACUCCUUGAGCUCUCCUAUUUCAUCAGGUAAUUCUUCAAUGGAUAAGCACAUUAUAAAAACAAGAAUCUUAAGUCUCUGCAGCUUUCUCAACCAAAUGAGGUCCUUGCAUCCACACCUGAUCAACACCAACGAUUGAAGUUUCGUUAAGAGUUCAAGUGAUUGCAAUGACAAACACUCUCCCUCCAGAGACAAAACUUCAAUUUCUUUCAUCCCUUCAAAAAACCUCUGAGGAACAUUCAUACCAUCAUCCAGUUCUAAUAAUAGAACUUUGAGCCGUGGACAUACCAAUCCUUCAGGAAGUUCGGUUAGUUUAUUGCCCAUUAACGAAAUUGUUGUACAAGCUUCAAAGCUUUUGAUACUCAUUGGCCAUUCCUUCAACCCAAUGCCAGCCUUUACCAUGAAUCCAUAUUCUUCUGAUGAUGCUAUCUGAAUAGCAAAGUCACGAACCAAGUCAUGCAUUCUCACAUGUUCUUCAGUUUCAGUGCCCAACAGCAUGCAACAAUCUUUGAGGUUUUCGAUUGCCACGGAAACUCGUUUCCUUGCAUCUUCAAUGGGCUCCGUAUCUUGAUGUAACCCACAGCCAACUGCAUAUCUCGUCAAGUCCUCGAUUGGAAUGUCAUAAUCUUCUGGAAAUAAACAGCAUAGCACGAAACAUGACUUGGUUUCCUCGUACUUCAAAUAAUCAUAGCUCAACUUAAGACAUGUGUAAGCAUUAUUUUGUUCGUCAAUUUGUUCCAUGCGCACAAAUUGAGAUUCUUUGAGCUGUUUAGACGCUACUUCCCACUGAACUCGUGAUUUACCUCUUAGAGCCCUUCCCACUGUCACAAGUGCUAUAGGCAAGCCUUGGCAUUCUCUCGCAACCUCCCUUGCCACUGUGUUCAAGGUAGAGUCCCCAUCACGUAAACCUGCAUUGAUUCUGAAUAAAUCCCAUGCUUCAUCUUCAGGUAAGACUCUUAAAAGCACUUUUUGCUGGCACUCCAUAGAAAAACAUAUGCCUUGAACACGAGUUGUUAGAAGAAUUUUACAACCCCUGUGAUCAUCACCAAAUGGGAUCCCUAUCUCUUUCAAGUCAAUAUGUUUCCAAACAUCAUCUAGGAUUAUAAGCAUCUUCUUUCCCUGCAGUCUCUGCCAUAAUUCACUUGCUCUACCUUCUUUACUCGUUUUUUCAAAUUUCAGAUGUAAACUAUCUGCCAUUCGAUCCUGGAUGCCUAUGACAUUUGGAUUCUGGGACACCGUAGCCAUCAAAACUUCAGGAAAAAGCUGCGACUCUUUGGCUCUCCUGCCUACUUCUUUCACCAGGGUUGUUUUACCCACCCCUCCCAUGCCGUACAGUCCGAUCAUAUUGACGUUGUCAUCUUUGAGAGCUUUCAUGAUCUGUUCCAAAGCUUCUUUUGACGAUUCUGAGGGUGUGAAUUCCUUUGAUGUUAGAAAUUCUAUGGGCUGAGGAGGAGCUUUUUGGGCCACUGUUUUAAACUUUUCGCUACUUUCUCCAAGUUUUCUGAAAGUCUUCGACUUCUUGGCCAGUGCCUUGCUUAACUUGAAUUGUCGCAUNNNNNNNNNNNNNNNNNNNNNNNNNNNNNNNNNNNNNNNNNNNNNNNNNNNNNNNNNNNNNNNNNNNNNNNNNNNNNNNNNNNNNNNNNNNNNNNNNNNNNNNNNNNNNNNNNNNNNNNNNNNNNNNNNNNNNNNNNNNNNNNNNNNNNNNNNNNNNNNNNNNNNNUUUGCCGAAACCAGGUUCUCCUUUCGUUCUUUGAAUUCUUCAACAAAAUUGUAGAAACAGAACAUGCAACGGAACAGCCUUCCUACUGGUUCCACCAUGAGUUCUGCUAGCAUAGCUAUAAUGGAUCCACCAGCACUUUCGAGAGCCAUUUUCCACAGGUCUGAAAAUCAAAGAAAUAAGGAUACAGAACGUGAGAGUGAGUCACUACAAGUAAAAGAGGCUUAAAGAGAAUGGGAAUAGGAAUUUCAUUACCUUAAUUUGGGAAAAUAUGUGCGAAAAGCACUGGUAUUGAGUGUUCAAUGAAAUAGCGGGAGGAAGAAGAGGAGAAGGCCUUUAGCUCUGUAUGGAAUCCAGCUUCAAAAGCAACAAGGCAAGGUACAAGUAUAACAAUAAAAUAGUUUACAUGGAUUCUAACGGACUCUUGUGAGUUAAAGCAUUAGUUCCCUUUAAAAAUGCAUUUUGAUGACAUAAUUAAGAUAAUAUAGAGACAGUGACAAACAAAUAAAAAAAUGUGUAAAAGAACUCACCUAGCAAAGAAAGAAACGAAUGAAAGGUUCAGGAUAAUCACUUAGACGCCUCCAUGGAUGAUACCAGCUCGCUUCCAACAACAAAUAUAAUUAACCUAAGCUAUGAUCGGUCAAAGUUUUUUUUAGUUUUCUUUUUUUUUUUAAAAAAAAAAAGAUCAACAAGAGAAAAUUAAGACUUGCAGGAACGAACUCAACAAAGAAUGAAACUAAAAGAACCAUGUUUUUUAUGAUGAUCAUCUCCGUGUCACCCACUUGGGUAAUAUGAUUGACCCGAGUGUGUGACAUCCAGAGUGCGGUUACUUUUUUCAUCCCUCUUUUUUGGUUUUAUUUUAUUUCAGUUCUUCAAGUCUUUUUCUUUUGCUAUUUCAUCGAGUUGCUUUGCUCUUGAGUUGUUGUGCUUGCCCUCAAGUAUGCAUUAUGCUAGGAAUUAUAAUUACAUAUUAUAAUUACAAAUUUCAGUUUUUUAAAAAACAAAAAAAAUAUGAGAAAGGACCAAUAUUACAAUGUGAGCAAAUGAAAGGAGAAUUUUAAAUUUUCUUGUGACAUGGUGACCAAGUAAUCCAAGGAACCAAUAGAUUAUCGCCACUUGUUCAACCUUAUCUGCACAUUAAGAUAGGGGUAGAAAGUAGGAAAGAAAAAUCAUAAUCCUAGAUUUUAUUGUGACAUGGAGAUAAAGGUAAUCUCAAAAGCUAAUAGAUGGUCCUUUAUCUACCCUUAGGAAAAGAUAGAAAGUAGGAGAGAAAAGUCAUAAUCUUAGAUUUUAUUGUGAUAUGGAGAGUUUCUCUCAACUCAUUUUUAGACCUCAACUGAUGAAGAUGGUGUGUAUUUUUUUUUAAAUCAAGUGCAUGUGUUUGUUGAAAAAUUGAUAAAAAUAAAGGAGAAAGAAAUAUUUUUUUCGAACCCUGUUUGAGGUGUUUUCUACUCUUUAUAUCCUCCUCCUUUGAUGCCAAAAGCAUCAGGUUUCUUAGGCUAAUAAGGAGUCUUCAUAUAAAUCCCUCAUAAUUUGCAUUUGUUUUUUUAAAAAACUGAUUAUGCUGCUGUCGUAAUUUUUUAUUCCAACUUAGGCUCUAAUUCUGACUUGGUUUCGUAUGAUAUUUGACCAUCCUACCUAUUUUUAUCACUCAUGACAUGUUGAAGAAUUGACCUAUACCUUUAUUGGGUCCUAGGGGUCAUUGUUCUUAGGGUAGACUCUCAGUCAGAUUUGGAUGCUUGGCAUUGUCAGAUCAAGAAAACCUUUUUGACCAACCAGAUUCCUGUCAGAUUCUGUUAUCUAAAACGAUUUUAUCUCACUUCAAAUCCUUCAUCAAAGUUGUAGUCUGGGACAAGUAGAUGAAUUUGAGCUUUUGAAUUGCUUGAUUUGAAGAUAUUCCUGUUUGAAAUCUAGCAUGAAAGCAUAAAAUCCUGCCGCGAGAAGGUUUCCAGUCGAGUUUGGUUGCAAUUCUGUUAUUCAAAAGGAAUUUAUCUCAUUUUUAUCUUUCAUGAAAGUUGUAGCUCUACAAGUGUAGAUGAAUUUGGGACUUUUCAAUCGCUUGAUUUUGAUAUCAAAAGCUCAUAAUAUUCUCGUUUGAAUAUCUAACGUGAAAGCAGAGAAUUCUGUCGCGAGAAGGAUCUUGACCCGAGUUUUGCACUAAAGACUCUAUUUCCAUCACAAAAAUUAUUGAUUUGUUCUUAGGUCAUACUCUCAGUCAUAUCGCGAUGCUCGACGUUGUCAGUUUCUGAAUUAGAUCAGGAGACCCUUUUUGACCAACCAGAUUACUGCCAGAUUCUGUUCUCUAAAACAAUUUUAUCUCACUUCGAAUCCUUCAUCAAAGUUGUAGUCCUGGACGUGUAGAUGAAUUUGGGCUUUUGAAUCGCUUCAUUUCAAUAUCAAAAGCUCAAGAUAUUCUCAUUUGAAUAUCUAAUGUGAAAGUAGAGAAUCCUGCCGCGAAAAGGGUUUAUCCCAAGUUCGCAGGUCUUAUUUGAAGGAUUUUUUUGGACCAAGGACUAAAUUGAAAAGUGCUAAAAUGAGGGAUUUAAUUGAAGAAGGAUAUUGGAAGCUGGAGAGGGGGGCUGGAUCAUCAUAAAUGACGGGAUUUCUACCACACCGAAUAAGGAAAAUAAGACUUUGCAGCAUGCACCGUUACCCAUCUGAUUUCUUUUCUUUUUCUUUGCAAAUUUCUUGCUGGUUUCCACGUUUCUCUUGCUGGAUUGGAGAGCUCCAGGCCAUGUUUUUAUUGCCUCAUUUCAAAGGAAACAGCUGGUGUCUCAUGAUCCCAGAUUUGGAAGGAAAGAAAGGAGUCGCACUAUCCUCUAAAAUACUGGAAAGAAAUCAGAUAUGAUCACAGAAUCAGAAUCAAAAUAUUUUGGUUUCCUAUUUCUACUCACCCGAGAUUACACCCUAGAGUUAAUGUAAUAUUUGUUUUCUAAAUAGAGCUGCGUUUUAGGUUAUAAGCCUCCUCUACUGGGAGAAGAAAGGGAUGAAAAAAAAGAAGGGAAGCAGGACAGAAAAGAGGGAGAACAGGAGAGGAGAAAAGGGGCCAAAUCUAAACCCUCUCUAGAGGAGCGCCACCCCCCCCCCCCACUGGCUUCUGUUUUGGCUCCCAGAACAGGCCACAACGCAGAAAAGGGGGGGGGGAGGCCUUUUCUUUCAUCCUUUGGUUACUGUGAAGACUUUACUGAACGGGGAAAGAAAAGAAAAGGAAAGGAGGAGCAGAGGAAAAAACAAGAAAAGAAAGACAAGAAAAAACAUAAGAGAGGCAGGGAGUAGGAGAGAAAAAAACAGAGAACGAGGGAGUUUCUUUCCUUCAUCCUUGCGUUGUUGGGAGAUCAGGAAGGCAAGCAGUAUAAGAGAAGAAGGAGAAGAAAAAGCAAGAAAAACGAGAAAAGAAAGAGAAACCAUAAACAAGCAGAGACUGCCUUUUCGGUCUUGCUUUCAUUUUUCUGCAUAUAACAUCUGCAGAACAGGGAAGGAGAAAGUGCAGGAACCAGGGAGAGAGGGUGACGAAGACGCAGAGAAAAGAAAAAAUCAGAAAACAGACGCAAAUAUAGAACAAGAGGAAAAGGUUUGAAACAGAUGAAACAGACCGAUCAACCAUCACGCUUUCAACGUCAAGGCAGCUUCUUCGCUUCCGUUCCUAGGUCUGUUCUCUUCACCUCUCGCACCAUGCAUUUUUUUGCUUUGUGUUUGCAUUGUUCAAGUGAAUUUUAACUCACUUGAAUAGUAACGUGGUCUCUUUGCAUGCAUUUUACUUUGUUCAUUGAGAGGAUUGCGCCCUUUUUUUUGUGUCCAGCCGGGUCACUUGCAGCCAGACCUACUAUUUUUUUCUUUUAAAAAAAUAAAAGAAAGAGAAAGAGAUUUAUGAUUUUCUGGCAUAUUUAUUUAAGGUCUGAAUUUUUUUUAUGUUGUAAAAAAUAUCAAUCUCGUAUUUAGAAUACCCGGUUUUCGACGCAAUGUGACAAAUAUACAUAUAUAUCAAAAAUGUUUUCUUGUGUGUUGCAUACGGCCAAUACCCUAACAUGUUUUGAACGUUCUUUUUUAUACAAAAAAUAUUGGAAGUUUCAAAAAUGUGUCGCAUGGAUUUCUUAAACACAACAAAAAUUAUUUUCUUGCAUUUCUGGAUUUUACAACAUGUUUGUAAAACUCCAAAGGGUAUUGGCCAAUAUUCCAAAAAAAUAAAAAAUCUUAUUUUGGAGGGAAUUAAUCUAUUGUUCACCAUUAAUGUUUGGAUAAAGAAAUCUCAAAGGGAUGAAUAUCCAAAAUAUUAUUGGAAAUAACUUGUUAUUAUUCACUGUUAAUAUUUGGAUAAAGAAAUCUUAAGUGGAAAAUAUCCAAAAUAAUUUUCUAGAAAGAAUAAGUCAUCACACAUCCUUGAAAAAAGCCUUGAUUAUAAUCGAGGACAUUUUAAUUUUUUACUCCACGGUUUAUGAGCCGUGAGAGUUUAAAACACUAAGGCAAAAAUAAGCUUUUAAAGCGCCCUAAAUUUCUAAAUUUUUGUCCCUCCUCCUUGCGAUUUACGAGUUGCAAACUCUUAAAAUACUAAGGGAAAAUGAGCUUUUAAAGCACAUGGAAUCUCCUUGGAUUUCUAUCUUAAUAAAUUUAGUUGAAUCAAACCUAGAAAAACUGAUGGGAUUAGAAAAACACCAACACCAUAGCAAUUAUAAAGCAAACCAAACACCAAGCAGCUUACCUUAGGUAGGGCGUACUAGGGGUGUUAAUACCUUCCCUUUACGCAACCAGUCUCUUGCCUUAGAAUCUCUAAAAGACCAGUUAGGGUUCCUAGUGACUAAAAUAUUAGGUGGCGACUCUUUUUUCCACACAAAAAAAACCGAAAUCAAUCAAGGGUCGUCGCAAUGGUGUGACAAACAUCAUCAUUACCCAUCAACAUAACUCCUCCAUCGAACUCUUUAAGUCUUGAGAACAAGUGUUUGUUGUGGCACAUGUGAUAGGAAAAUCUAAAAUUAAAAACCCAUUCACUGGAAUGGUUUUAUGGUGAUGAGACCAUGAAUGAAGAGUCUUGUUCAUCUUCAUCUCAUGCAAUAUUCAUAGUUGGUUCAUCCUUUUUUGUUGUCCUUGUUGCUUUUAUUUGGACAAUCUUUCUUCUAGUGUCCUUCUAUCUUAAAUAAAUAGCAGACAUGCUUGGGUCCUCUUUUUUUUCCCUUUGUGAGUGUACAACGCACAGUGGUAGGCAACCUAUAUUUCUUUUAUUAUUAAGCAAACAAUAAUUCACCUAAUGGUUGGAUCAUCUAAAACUUGCUAUUAUAACGAUAGCUGGAAAAAUAUAGGGUUGGUAUAAUAAUUUAAUUUUUAAUUCAUUGACAUCUAAAAAUACUAUAAAUUUUUUUUAUAAACCACUUACCAGCUCCAAAACAUCCUUAAACCAUUCAAAAGACAAAAAAAAAAAAAACUAAAUCAAAAAAAUCUAAAAGAACUUGAAUCUAUUUUUUUCAGGUAAGAUGAAUGACAGAGAACACUUAAAUGUAACUUUUCUCCUCGAAAGAAACCCGUUUAUACAAAGAAUGAUUUUUUCAUGGUCAUAAUCUUGGCAAUCAAAAACUUUUUUAUUUUAUCAUCAUUUUUCAAUGUUUCUCUUUCUCUCAUCUCUCAAACCAGAGAUCAAGAUUAACAUCCAAUCCCCAAAUUAGAAGGGAUCAAAAUGUAACUUUGACAAAACCAAAACAUAAAAUUUAACAAAAAAACCUAGACUCUUUUAUUCUUCUUCCAUUUGGUUUCUUAACUUUUAAUUUUGUAAAAAUAAUAAAAUCACAUAAAUUUCAAUAAAAUUAAAAAUCAAUUUAAUGACAAGAAGUUUUGUCAAGAAUAUAAUAGUCUCGUGAAAAAGCAAGAAAGAACAAAUUAUAAAGAUUGAUUCCAAUGAACACAAUGUGAAACAAUUAAAUAAAACAUUGAAGAGCAUUCAAAAAGAAAACAUUGUUUAGCCCAAUUCACAAAUUCCACUAAAGAUUCCACCUUUCUCACCUUUGAUUUCUGUGUCGCCGGUCUCCGUCUUAUUUGGUUUUGGUAUCUGUCAUUGUUUUUUUUUUUUUUUUUUUUUUGGGGGGGGGGGGGGGGGGGGGGGGGAAAAAAAUUUUUAGCGGGGGAAAAAGAAAAAUAUUUGCCGCCUAUUACUUUGUAAUAAAUAAAUUAAUUCUCAAAAAAUAGUAAAUUAAACUUGCCUUCAAUUAGGAUUUGUGUUCUUCAAUUUUGAACCUUUUCUUUUAAUCCCACAAGUAGUAUUUUGCUAUUUAGUUUACUACUACAUUAUAUUUAUAUUUAGUUUCAAGUUUUUCUUAAAAAAAUCUUAAUAUAUUUUUGUGUUCUUUUCUAUAUUCUACUUUUUACAACUUUUUCUUUAAAAAAACAUUAUUUUCUACUUUUUUAAGUUUUUCUUUAAAAAAUAAUAUUUUUUUAUCAAAUCUUAAACAAUUCAUUCAUAUUUGAAUUCAUAUAUUUAUAAGAAUUUAAUUUUUGUAAUUGAUUUUUAAAUCUCAUUCCAAAUUUAUAGUGUAAAGAUUAAACUGAAUUGGUUAGGUUGAUAAACUAGCACGAAAUCCAGAAAUGGAUAAUGCUCGUAAGCCCAACACAAAGCAAUACCCAAUGGAGUCCAGCUAAAGAAGUAGAAAGGGCCGAAGGGAAUCUUUUUAUUAGGAAGCUGCUACAUUUUCAAACAAGAAGUAGAACCCUUCGGUUAUAGUCGUCAAGAAACAGAAUAACAACAAUGGACGAAGUUCAAGAAAGAGAGAAAAAAGACGAAUUCGAUGCAUCAGAGAUUGAAUACGUUAGCUAUGGUGGUGAGCAUCACCUACCAUUAAUCAUGAAUCUUGUCGAUCAAGAACUUAGUGAGCCUUACUCCAUCUUCACCUACCGUUACUUUGUUUAUCUUUGGCCACAACUUUCUUUCUUGGUAAGUGUGAUUCUUUUCUUCUUUUAUGUUGUUGGGAUUUUUUUUUUGGUGUUGUAACUGUGUUUUUGUUGGUGGGUUUUCAAUUUCAGGCCUUUCACAAAGGCAAAUGUGUAGGGACUGUUGUAUGUAAGAUGGGGGAUCAUCGGAAUUCAACUUUUAGAGGUUACAUUGCUAUGUUAGUUGUCAUCAAACCUUAUCGAGGAAGAGGCAUUGGUAAUGGCUUCUUCUUUUUUUCAUAUUGGGAUUUUGUGCACAGUUUUAGGUUGUGUUGGAUUAUAUAUGUGAAUCCUGGAUUGGUUUUUAAUGUACUAUAGAUCUAUUGGAAACAAGAAAGGAAAGGGGGUGAGGGUUUUCAAGAAAUUGGACGUGCAUUGAUAACAUUAAUGGUAGAAAUAUGGAUGUUUGGAAUGAUUAUGUGUAUAAUAAACUGGCUGCAUUUGAUUUGAACUCAAGGUCCAUUCUUUGUUUUCCUACACUUGGGAUGGCAUUUACAAAGGAUUGGAUGUGGGCUUUGAUAGUUUUUAGGCUUUGUGUUGAUAUAUCAUGUUUUUCUUGUUAAUUGUGUUGUGUAUGGGUACGUUGUAAUUUCCAGUGAAAUUCUCUCCAGACUGCAGCUACUGAACUUGUUACCAGAUCUAUUCAAGUGAUGAUGGAAUCGGGAUGUGAAGAGGUUUGUCGAGUUUUAGUUGUUGUACCUUUUGGUUUGUACUCAUCUAAAUGGAGCAUUAUUCAUACAACUAUAUCACAAAGGAAGUACGGAUUUUUUAUCCUCAAGCUUUAGUUGUACUUUCCAUGGUACCAAAUGAGCAUAUAGGAGAGUAGAAAUAACUACAUUUCCUAAGCAUUACCACCAAACGUUGGAGCUCUGUUUGGGGCUUGAAACAGCAUGGGAAACAAAGGAGAAUUAUGAAACUGCUUAAGUGGUUACCUUCACUGCCAAUUAUAGGAGAGUUGAAAUAGUUUUCCUUUCUACUCCAUUGUGCUCUUUGAUCUCAAACCAAAGAGAAAAAUAAGCUUUCCUCUCGAGUUUGACUGGCACCUUGGCAUGUGUGUAAAUGGUGAUGCCGUAUCUUUUAUUCACACCUCCAAAAACCUUUUCUUCUGAAAUUUCUUGGUGUUUGUGCAUUACUCUGUAGUAACACCAUGUCUCUUAGACACUUCAUGCUUCAUGUGUUAUUUCAAUUCUAUCUCUCCUCUUAGUUACCUCAUGCUGCAUGUGUUAUUUCAAUUCCAUCUCUCCUCUUGCUUUAAUCUUUAUUAGGGUUAAGUGAGCCAGUCCUUGGAGGUAUCCCUGCACAUGGAUAGUAGUCCAUGCAAACAAUGAAUUAUGUUGUUAAUGUGCUGCCAGUUUAUGCUCCCUGCUAGAAGUCCAAAAUAUUACAUGUCAUGUGUGAUGAUUUUGACUUGCAUUGACUGAUUGCACCUACGUGACCAAUUUAGGACUUGCAGCUGAUAUAUUGAUAUGGUUAAAUUGAACUGUCCCAGAAAUUUUCAUUUCAUUAUCUCGAGGUUGAAAUUGUGAGAAAAAAAAAUUAAAAGAAUGAUUCCAUGGAAAAAAAAAAAAAAAAAAACGAGAUCAAUGGAAAUUUACUGCUGAGAAAGGAAUAUGGUUUCAUUCAAUGUAAACGCAACUCCAUGCUUUGCUGCAGUAUCAUAGUUCUGAACGAACUUAAAUAUUGUCCCAAGAAGCCAAUAAUUUGUGAGGCCUUGGCUUUGCUGAUAUUCCUUGUGUUUUUGAAUGAUGCGUUAAUUCUAUUUCUAGUUAUUUCACCUUGAUGCAUGAAUUUGCUCUCAUUUCUCAUAUCAGGCAAAGAACAUAGAAUGAAAAGGUGGGAGAGAAUAUAGAAUCCGAAUAAACUGCUAUGACUUUAAUGUAGGAUAUCAGAACAGCUCAAAUGAACUGCAUGAUUAUUUGACUGUUUUUCCACCUUAACUGGUGAUAAGUGGUCCACUCUGGAACACAAGCAUGCCACAUUAAAGAAUAUGGUCCAUUAAAUAACUAACUACAUUCCCCCCUAUUUGCUUAUGAUUUAGCAUAUCCCAACUUUAUAUUUAUGUAUUCAAGCAUAUCACUUUCUUAACUACAUUGUUGUUGAUCUUUUAUUGUGUUGUGUUUUUCUCUUUCCUCUUCGAAGGUAACAUUGGAAGCAGAAGUUACAAAUAAAGGAGCACUUGCACUAUAUGGCCGUCUUGGUUUUAUUAGAGCAAAACGACUCUUUCACUAUUACUUGAAUGGAGUUGAUGCCUUUCGUCUGAAGCUGCUAUUCCCCCAACCAGAGUUAUACCCCUCUUUGCCUAUGAUGGCUGAUAGAGACGAUACACACGAGCAUGAUGAUUGCUAGCCAAUGGAUGAGCUUUCUGAGCUCCGAGCUCCACAGAGGCUUGGAACUAGUGGGCUUUCUACCAUUCAUUACACAGUCUCUGCGAGCUACAAGGAUGGUUUGAUAUUUGAUCUUUAGAGAGGCAGCACAGCCUCGUAACCUACACAGGGAUUCGCACAAAUGUGGGUUCUUGGUCAUGUCAUCUUUGUUCACUGAAGUCGAUGUACAUGUUUUAUUGGCCUUGUCUAAUAGAAAUGUAUCAACAUACGAGGCCGAAGCUCACAUACUGUAAUACUUGCACAUUAUAGAUGUGGCAGCUAUGACGAAAACAGCCAAUCUCUCUCUGUUCACUCUCAAAAUAUUUGAUUGAGGCGAAGAUCAAGUCUAAAAGACCAAAAAUGCUUCAGCAAUGGUUUGGUACAAAGGGUAUGAUGGUGACUUGAGACAAUAGUGGGUUACUUACCAUAACAGCCAAUGAAACACAGUCAAACCAAGAAAAUCCCAAAUGUUAAAAUAAUAUCCAUGCGUCUCUCUCUAAUGGCUGCAGGAUAUAUAACAUUUGAUUUGCGUUGUAUGGUAGGUGGGUUGCUCAAUUGAGUCAGCUGCAUGCCUAUUCUAGUCAAAAGGCUUAAGAAAGUAGCAAUACUAUUUUAAAAGUGUUUUGUUGCUACGACUUCUUGGAGGUUGCAGCACCAAUCAAAAUGUUUUUAAAAACCAUAUUCUAAUGUGUAGUUGUGUUAAUUUACAAGCACCCGCAUUGUUAAUUUGUUUGAAUUUGGUGUGUUGAAGAAAUGUCUUCAAUUUGUUAAUAUUCUCCCAAGUUUAUAUGCUCUCUAUCAUUUUAAUAACCAGAAUUAUUUUGAUAAUUAAGCAACCAAGCAUUUACGAUAUGAUGAUAUGAGUCAAUGAACACUGCACCUCUUCAGUUAAGUUGAUCUAAUUGGCAUUGUCUAAUAGAAAUGCGUCAACAUAUUAGACCUAAUACAUGUAACAUAUUAUGAAAAGUUAAAAUUAAAAUUACAUUACUGUUUUUACUGUAGCCAAUUUAAUGUUCACCCUCUCAUUUCAUUGUGGAUUUCAGUAGUAAUAUAUUUGAAAAGUUUCAAUUUAAUCUUUAAAUUUUUAUUUUGCAUAAUUGAGCUCUUUUCAGCUCAAAUUGAAUGCCAAUUUAUAUUUUUUUGGGGUGAGGGUUGAAUUAAAAGAAAGAGGGCUUAAGUGAAAAAUAAAAGUAACAUAGGUGACGGCUGUGCAAUUAUUNNNNNNNNNNNNNNNNNNNNNNNNNNNNNNNNNNNNNNNNNNNNNNNNNNNNNNNNNNNNNNNNNNNNNNNNNNNNNNNNNNNNNNNNNNNNNNNNNNNNGUUCAUUAUAGUCCCUUAUUUUUUAGCUUUGAAAGAUUUUUUUGUUUCGGAUUGAUUAUGAGUUUUAAGGUGUUUUCUUUUUUUUGUGUUUUUUAAGGCUAUAAAUUGGUUAAACAAGAAUCCAGAGUGUUUCCUAAAUAUUUUAGGUUAAAAAUAAGUUGAAAUAGGUUUUUUGGUUGAAAAAAUAAGAACCCUAUUCAAAAAAUAUUUUUUGCAUUUAUGUUUUGAUUAAUACUUAUUCUUUGCGAUUUUUUUAUUUAUUUAGUUUUUUUAAAUAACAAUUAUUUUUAAAUUAUAUUAAAUAUUAAAAAUAAAUUAAAUUUUUAUUAAUAAUAAAUAUAAAUAUUUAUGUGAAUAUAAUAAAAUCAAGUAUAAAAACAGACGAUAGAUGAUGUGAGAACUCAAUCCCAUUCCAUUUCAGAAUCAAAAUGGGGAAUAUUUCCCGGCUCAAAGGUGCAAGAAAGUUGUUCGCUGAGGCUGUGGCAUGUGUAUAUUGAAUUCUUUGUUUCGAACAGAUCCAUUAUCCCGCUUGACCAACUGAGAGAUGAUUAAUAAACAAGAGAAAAGGACUAAUCAAUGGUUUAAUUUUCAAUUUCGAACAACAUAGUACAUGCAUUGCAAAAGUCAUGAUUUUUACCAAGAGAAUUUUGAUCUUUCUUGUUGUAGAGAAAUAUUUCCCAUUUAACUUCGUAAACACAUAUCUAUAUGAUAUUAAUUAUAUAAAAAAAAAUUAUAAGAUUUGAACUUAUAAUUAUUUUGUCAAUAAAAAUACUGUUAAGUUUGCACAAGCCCCAUUAUAUUAUGCUAUUAAUUAUAUAAAAAAAUAAAGAUUUGAACUCGUAAUUUAUGUGAAUUCAUUAAAAUAUAAAAAUAUCUUAAUUUAAAAACUUAAUCUAUCGUAUAAGAUUUUAAAAUAUUAUUUAUAUUAUUUUUUAAUACUAAUAAAUAUAAAUAAUCAUGUUCUUUGCCACACUCUUGAAACUAGUGAAAACUAUUUUUCUGGGCCAUCAAACGUGGGAGAUUUUUUCCAAGAAAAACAAGAUAGGUUAUUGUCAAUCAAAAGAUUAGCGUGACUUUACACAGCUAGAGCGCAUUCUUGUUGACUAAUUAAUAUUGAAUUCAAGGCUUUGAUUUAGCAAAAAUCAAGUUGGUGAGGCAUGUGAUUCAAAUCUUUCCAAUCUCGACCAAGCCUAAUAAACCAAAAACUAUAAUAUAUAUAAAAAAUAAACCUAACCAUCUAUACUUUUCCUUCUAAAUAUUCAUACCUCUUCAACUUUAUUAUACAUUUCAUGAUAAUCACUUGAAACUACAAGAGAGGAUUACCAUACGAGCUGCCAAUGAAACACAGUCAAACCAAGAAAAAUCCCAAAUGGCAUACAAUGUCCAUGCAUUUCUCCAUAGACUACGCAGGAUAUAUAACAUAUGAUUUCCAUGGCAUGGUAGGUUAAGGUUUGCUCAAUUGAGUCAAAUUCCCAUGCAAGUCAAAAGGCAAGGAAGUAAGUAGUGAUACUUGAAUUAUUUACUAGUACAAUCUUGGAGGCUGCAACACGAUUUUAACUAAGAAAAUUGAUCCGAGUAAUUAAUUGUCUAGGUAGUCUUAAAACCUUAUAUUAUAUUGGGUCAUUUUCGUAUUAUACAAGCACACGUACGUCUAGUUAACUUGUUUGAAUUUCAUGUGGUCUCCGAUAUUAUUCUCCCAAAGUUUGUAAGCUUAUCAUUUUAAUAAUCAAAAUUACUUAAUUUGAUAAUUAGUCAACCACACAUUUUGAAUAUGGUUAAUUAAAUGAUGAUGUGAGCUCCAAUUGCAUUGAUUUAUACAAUCUUCAUGUGAACGGUGUGGUCGAGACUCUUUAAUAUACUCAUACGUGAGAUUCUUUAUAUAUAAUAUACUUAGACAUGAGAUUCUUUAUAUAUAUAUAUAGUAAUGGAUUUCUUUGAGUAGUCUACAUAUUAAUUGAGAUUAGAUUUUUUUUCUCCAGUGAUCUUAAUUGUGUAUCUACUACAUUUGCUUGAUGUGUCUCGAUGAAUUUCAUAAAUUUUCUUGAAUACUAACUCUAAAUUUUGAAUAUAAAAAGUCAAAAAAUAAAACAAAUCCCUUUUAAAUUGGCGAAGAGAGCUAGAUAUGUGGAAUGUGCAUCUUUAGAAUUCAACUUAUCAUGUUGUUGAACGGGAACAAUCUAACGUUUUGGAACCACCUAUGUGAACUUGGCAUAACAUGCAGGAGAAUUUAUUAAAUUCUUUUGAAAAUAUUAGGCUAAUAUAGGAAGUAUGUCUUUAAAAAUCACUAAAAAAAUAAUUUUAGUUUACAUGCAAGUUAUCCAUCGGAAAAGAUAUAAGUUAUUUGUGCAAGUUAGGGAAACUUUUCAUAUAUUAUAACUAGAUUAUUUCUCAUAGCUAUGCUGUGAAUUGAAUUAAAUUUUUUUAAAUGUAAAAAAAAAAAUAUCUAAGCCAUGAAGAACUAUUUAAGAUUAUUAUUAAAUCUGGUUUAGUGUGUCAAACUUGAAAACUCCUGACUGAACUCCUUAUCUAAUCAUAUUUCAAAUUAAAUCUUGUAAAAUUAUUCUAACGUGACCUAGUCGACUUAGUGGAUAUAAAAGCUAAAAAAUAAAAGAAAAAAUAAUGACCAAAAUAAAAGUAAAGAGAGAGAGAUCAGGCGCACGAGUCUAAGGACAAUAUGGAUAAUUAGUAAAAACAUAGUUUGACUUUUUUAAAAAAAUUUAAAAUAACUUUUUUUUAAAAAAAACAAUCAAACAGUGAUAUAUUGAAUCGAUCUGAGUUAACUUGUCAAACUUGUGACCAGGAUCAUGAAUUCCACUAGAUCUAAUAACAAUUAAUUAUAUGAUAAAAAAUAUGAAGACUAGUUCAAAACCAACUAAAUAUUGAAUGAAAAAAAUGAAUUUUUUUUUUAAAAUACAGCAAAAACUCAAUGUUAAAUGAUAAAACUUGAGAGAAAAAAAAUACAAGUCAUGUGCGUGAACUUGGAUUAUAACAACGAAAAAAAAAUCUUAGCUUUGUAAAGAUAUCUUAAGCCUUUAACUCAGGAAAACAAAAUGAAUUUUUUUUCUACAUUUAGUAUCAGUAAUCCAUAUUGUCAUUUUAAUCUCAUGGUUUAAUUCAAUUCGAUAUAACACAUUCAUAUACAUUACAAAUAUCAUACAAUUAUGAUUGAUGUUUCUAAUUUUUAUCAAAAUUUCAGCAGAGUCUUCUUUGUCUAGGUAACCAAACAGUUCUUCUCUUCUUCUAAAAACCUACAUAACGAUCAAGGAGAGUUUCAAAUCCCACACAUAAACAAUUUAUAUCCAGGUAUUGGGCCUCAGGCCAUUCAAUCAAUCAAUCAAUUCAUAAUAGUUCACACCUAUUAAAGUUUAUUGGGUACAUUUAAAUAAUUUAAACUUAGCUUUUCAUCAAGAUAGCAUUUCAUUACAAGAACAACAUUAUAAAUACUUAUUCAUAUUACAAUCCCCGUUCAUUUGAAUUACAAUAUACUACUAAGAACUCAUCUAACAUUGUAACUAAGAAAAUUAGAAUCUUGUCUUAGCAUGUGAUAUUCCAGAUCAUAAACAUGAAAAUUAUAGAAAUUUAAAUAAGAUAUUUAUUACAACACAAUUAAAAUAUGUCAGAUACAAUAUAUAUAUAUGAUUUUUCAUGGAGCAAACAUAAUUUCUUUGGAUAAUAAUAGAAUCGACUCAUUUGUCAUAAUCUCUACUAAUUUUAAGUAUUGUAUAGUCACCUCGUCAAGGUAAUUCCAAGCUUUAUCUUCUCAUCUAAAAGUUAUAUCUUGUUCAUAAAUCCAUCUUGGAAACUUUAUCUAUCGAAGCUCACCAUAAAGUUUUAUUAAUGGUAAUUAAAGGCCUAUUCCACGUAUCCUACCCUAUGCUAUUAAUUUAUCAAAGGUAAAUUAUCAUUUGUACUCUUUGCUCUAUAUGUUUCUUAAGGAAUUAAAUCCUUUACUAGUAUCGCCCUACAAUUUUAAAUAAAUAUAAUUAAUGAUUUAUUGAUUUCUAUUUUCCAUAAUGAAUCUUUAACAUUGAUUUAACUUAAUUUGGUUUUAGCAACAUAUCAUUCAUCUUACAACAAACUUUUAUGUACACAUGUCUUAACAUGCAUCAAUACACUUAUUUGUCCAUUGGAUUGACCAUCAUAUAGCUUGAAAUAUACAAUCAUAGAUGUCCAUGUUCUUGUCCUAUUAGGCCACCAAGAUGAUUUUCAAAUCUCUUAUCAUGUUGUACUGGAAUCAGUAUAUACUUAUGCCCUUUUACAUUAUCAAACAAUCACCAUUUUCUUCAUGAAUACACCAUCAAAACCGCAUACAUUCAACUACACCACAUUAUACAAACCAAUUCUUUAUUAUAACCCGUUUCACUAUCAUUACAAUCCUUAGAGUUCUCAUGCAUAUGUUGUCCACAACAAUAUUUGAAAUCUAUUUUCAAGUCAUUUUCACCUAGAAAACAUUGUUGUUCCCCUAAUAACUCUUUGCUCAUAUAAUAGAUUGUCAAAACAACCUACAAAUUACGCUUCGAUGCAGCCCAAAACAUAAACAUGUAGUAAUAUUAGUCAUCACACCGUGAUUGACUACCCAAUAGAUUCUAAUAUCGUUAUUGUCUAAUACUACUAGUCUUUUAACUCUAAAACACCCUAAAAUAACACAAACAAAGGGGUUUUUAUUUGUUUAGAAAUCUAUUUUCAAGUCAUUUUCACCUAGAAAACACCAUAAAAACAUUCCUAAACCAACCAUUAACUCUAAAACACCCCAAAAUAACACAAAAAAUAAAAAUCAAACUAAUCAAGAAAAUCUUAAUUGAAUCCAAUCUACUUUUCAAGCAUUGUUAGAGAAAAAGUCAUCGCUAUUUGAAAACUCAUCAUUAAAUGAAACUCGUUGAGACCAAGAACAACUACUUUUAUCGCUGAAAAGUGGUCAAACCGAUAACUUUCUCUUUUCUUAUCGUUUUUCAAUGAGUCUCUCUCAUCUAUGUAACUUGGGGUUGAGAAUGACCAAAAUAAACUUUUAGACUAAAAUAUUAAAAAUUCNNNNNNNNNNNNNNNNNNNNNNNNNNNNNNNNNNNNNNNNNNNNNNNNNNNNNNNNNNNNNNNNNNNNNNNNNNNNNNNNNNNNNNNNNNNNNNNNNNNNCUCCUCUCUCUCCUUAAAUUGGUUUAUAUCCAAAUUUCAACCAUCAUCAGCUAUAAAAGAAUCAUUGAAAAACAAAUUUGAAGACAGAAUUAAAAAAAAAGGGGACGGAAAAAAGAAAGAAAAAGGAGGGUAGUUUUUUUAGUUAAAGCUGAUGGUUUCUAGCCAAAAAAAAAGCAAUGAGUGUUGGGGUGCCACGUGUAAGGAGCCCAUUAAGUAUGUGGUGGGUGAAGUCAGCUAGAGCUAAGCAUCCAUUUUUGGUGGGGUUUUUCUGGUUAGAUUUGCCUGUUGGAGGAUCGUAGCAUGGGAUUAUAUUUGGUUGUAAAGGAAAGUGUCAAUUUAGGAGCCACCAACCAUCGACAAGUUAGUGAAAAUGGUGUCGAGUGCCGCACCCACCACCUCCUUCGAUCAAUCACCUCAUCAUCCAUGUAAUUAACCCUUUUUUGAUCUAUCACUUUUACGUUACUAAACACUUCCACUUCUAUAUUAGACGUGUGGAAUGAUUCGAUUUCUAGUUUUUUUAUUUGUGAAUCAAAUUAAUACUUGAAGCUAGUAGAUGGAUGUGUCUAAUCAACUUCCUUUGAUUCAAUUUCAUGAAAUUUUUUAUCAUAAAACAUCAAUAAAAAUGUGUUGUAUAUCUUGAACCGAUAUCUAAUAAAAUCUUAAAAGUUGGGAGUGAAAGAUAUAAUUUAUUUUAUUUUUUUAAUAUGUUUUUUAAUUAAAAAUUAUUUCAGUUUAAAACUUAAAGGAUUAUACUAUUUUAUACAUUAAAAAAUAAUUCAUAACUAUUUGGUUAUCAUGUAAAAAAAAUAUUUUAAAUUAAAAAAUUUAAAUUUUUAAAAUUAUAUAAAUUGCUCUCUUUUGAAUAACCUUUCGUAUUGUGAUGUUUCAUGGGUAAAUAAAACAUGAUAAAAUAUAAUAAGAAAGAAUUUUGCUAGGAAAAAUACAAAAAUGAGAUACCAAAUCUAUUUAUUUAAUUGAACAAAACUAUUUUUCUAUCAAUCUCACAUGUAUAUCAAACAAUAAAGGAUAAAUUAGAAAGUGGACUUGUCACUAAUUAAAUGUAUAUAUUAUGAUUUUUAUUUUCUAAGAUGAUAUAUUAGGAUUUUUUAUUAUUAUUAAUGUAGGUGUUCGGACUAACUUGCGUGUACCUCAACUAAUCUCACGAGUUUUGAAGUUAACGAUCAUGUAAAUCUUCAAUGAUCCUGAGAUUUGUAAGACUCGAACUGGUAAUAUCUAGAGAAUAAAUUUAGAAUAUGAUGAAUUAAGUUUCACUUCUCAUGAUUAAUAUAUUUAGAGUUUUGAAUACUUAAAAGGAGGUGUUGUUUUUAUUUUUAUUUUCAAAUCUAAGAACCUCAAAAACUUUUAGGAAUCUAAAAAAAAACUCAUUUUUUUAACCCCAAAACAUUUUCUAAUUAGCCUAAAUAAUGAAAAUCAAUCUGAAUAAAAAAAAUAUUGGUCUAAUAUAUUUUUUCUAGCAUGGUUAAAAGGCAAAAUCAUUUUUAUUGAACUCUUUUUUUCAAAACAAAUCCAUUGAUGUUAAAAUUAGUUUUUUUAUGACCGGAAUAUGAUUAGCUUCACCACAUUCUCCCCCUCUCAACAUACAAUAACUAAAAAUAUGAUAAAAAUGAAGUUUUAAGAUGGAGUCGUAAAAAUUUUAAACAAUAUGAUUAAAUAAAUCUGAAAAACAAAAACUUCAAGGACCAUAUUAAACUUUUCUACAACUUUGGAAAAAGAUUGCAUUAUAGGAGAAUAGUUUAAUGCACAAUAACUUGAGUCUUGCUGCACAAUAAAAUUUAUUAUGGUAAGAAUAACAAAUGUUUUAAUUUAGAUUAUAACACGAAGCAUACACAAUUAAGAUUACAACAAGGAGAUUUCAAGUAGUUAAACUUAGGUUAUAUUAGAUAUGACUUUUGUAAAUUGAUUUAAUAUAUUUUUCACUUUUGAUUUUAAUUUUAAUUUUUUUUAAGUAAGUUAAAAUAGCUUUUGAUUUAAAUUUUUUUUGUUAUAAAUUGGAUUCAAACCUUUGAUUUAAUAAAAAACAAGAAAAUUUUACUUUAGUUUGUGGAUUUUAUACUGAAUUCCUUAUUAAAAAGUUAUUUUGAAUCAUUUUUACAAAUAAUGCUUAUAACUUACGGUUAUUUUAAUUUAUUUUUUUCAUAAAUUGUUUAUAAAAAACAACUUUUAAAUUACAAUUCAAAGUAAAAUAUCAUAAUUAGUUAUGAAUUGGAUUCGAUGAAAGGAAGAUGGGAAGAGGGGAAAUGGGUAACGGGAAAUUAAAGAGAGAUGAUGAUCUGCGCAUGGCUACCUGUACCAGAACAGAUGGAAAAAACUCGAAACAACUCGGCUAGAAUUUAGGCAAGAAAUUCAGAAUGAGUCAACAUUUUAAGUGAGAUGAAAUUUGUCUCACUUUGUUCUAUUAAACAGAGGAGCAUUUAGAGGAUAGAAUAUUAGAGUCUCUAGCAAAAGCCAGCAAGGUAUAUUUAGAGCCAAAUUCGGGUAACAAAUUAUCAUAACCAACUGAUCCAUUUCGGCUCGGAGGCUUCAGAUUUGUACCAGUCAUCAACUGGUGCUCUUUGCUUUGCAGCCUUUGAGGAAGAAGUAAAAGCCUCCAAAAAUAUCAUCAUUAUUAUUAACAGAUGAACUAGACCCGUUUAACCCACCAAAAUAUAUCAUCAUUAAAAGAUGAUUUCGCACUCGUAUUUUUAGUACUGGAAAACACAAAAUCAUAACCGAAAUCAAACCCAGUGCUAUUUUGUUUUUAAUUCUUUUGAAAAACAUCAAAAAUGUCAAAAUCAUCAUCAAAAUUCUAUAAUUUUGAAUUGCUAAAGAGAGUUUCGUGAUAAUCCAUGAAAGACCUAUCAAAAGAAUUGGAAAUGAAGGUUAAUUUAGAAGAAUAUGAGGAGGGUUUCUGGUUUGAUGGAGGGAAAUUCAAAUAACAAAACUGGCUAUAUGUUUCUUUGAGGAUGAAACAUGCAAGAGAUUCCACCACCAGGACAGACAACAACACNNNNNNNNNNNNNNNNNNNNNNNNNNNNNNNNNNNNNNNNNNNNNNNNNNNNNNNNNNNNNNNNNNNNNNNNNNNNNNNNNNNNNNNNNNNNNNNNNNNNUAUUCAACUUUUACCUACUUUUCUUCGCUUAGAAUUAGAAAAUCCAUACUUGCAUUUAAGAGAAUUUGAAGAAGUUUGUAACACCUAUAAUGACUUAAAUUGUAGCAUAAACACCAUCAGAUUAAAGUUUUUUCCUUUUUCAUUAAAAGAUAAAGCUAAAACAUGGCUACAAAAUCUUAGGUCAGGAUCCAUUCGUGCUUGGAAUAAAAUGCAACAACAAUUUUUAAAGAAGUUUUUCCCUUCUCAUAGAACAAACUCUUUCAAAAGAUAAAUCACCAUUUUCAAUCAAAAACCAGGAGAAAUAUUUUACAAGUGUUGGGAUAGAUAUAAAGACUUGCUUAAUACCUGUCCUCAUCAUGGUUUUGAAACAUGGAGAUUGGUUUCACAAUUUUAUGAAGGGUUAACACCUAAAGAUAGACAAAUGAUGGAAUUGAUGUGCAAUGGAACUUUUGAAAACAAAGACCCUGAUAAAGCAAUGGAGUACCUAGACUUGAUAGCUGAAAAUGCUCAAAAUUAGGACACUACAUGCACUUGUGAGGCACCAGGUAAAACUUAACCUCAUACAUUUAGUGGAGGCAUGUAUAACCUUAGGAAAGAUCAUGACCUCCAAGCCAAAUUUGCAUCUUUAGCUAGAAAAGUUGAGGCACUAGAAUUAAAAAAGAGUGGUCAAUUAAAAUCUGUUCAAGAAAUUGUGUGUCAAACUUGUGAAACUAAUGAACACUCAACCAAUGAUUGUCCAACUUUGCCUUCUUUUAAUCACCAAAAUUUCAGUUGGAAGAGUAGUAACAAUAAUGCGCAAACUUCACAACCACCAUUUCAAACACAUCAUAAUUUUCAAAAUUCUCAUGGAUAUGCACCUCCUUAUGUUCCCCAUCCUAGAAGAAAUCUUGAGGAAAUAUUGGAUGCAUUCAUUGAAAAGCAAGAGACAAUCAACACUCAACUUGCUUAAAACAUGACAGAUUUUAAAGAUACUCUUGCAAAAUUCACAUCUGCUCUAAGUUUUCAGGAGAAAGGUAAGUUCUCAUCUCAACCACAGCAAAAUCCCAAUGGGAAAUACAAUGCAAAUGCAAGUAGUUCUAGAAGCCAACACAUAGAUCAAGUCAAAUCAGUCAUUAUUAUCCACGGUGGUAAGGUUAUUGAAAAACCAAUUUUUGAACCUUGUGAGAAAGAUGAUGAGUCAAUCUCUAAGGGUAAUUAAGGAAAGGGUUAAACCUGAACAUUGCAAAGAAAAGACUAAUUCCCCACUAAUACUUCCAUUUCCUCAUGCUAUGACCAAACAAAGGGAAGUCAAUCACGAUUCUGAAAUUUUUAAAACUUUCAAAUAGGAAGAAAUCGAGGAUGAAAAAGGCACCGAAAAUAUUGUCGUGGAUCAUUUGUAAAAAUUGACAAUAGAUUCGAUAUCUGACAUCACACUAAUUGAUGAUUACUUUCCAGAUGAAUCUUCACUUUCUAUUGCUUCAAUACCUUGGUCUGCUAAUAUUGAUAAUUUUCUUGCUUCAAGAUUUUUGCCAGCUCAUUUGGAUACCCAAGAUAAAAGAAAGUUCUUGAGCGACAUGCAGAACUUUUAUUGGGAUGACCCUUACUUAUUCAAAUAUUGUCCUAAUCAAAUAUAUCAAAGAUGCAUUUCUGACAAUGAGGUAAGUGGUGUCAUAAAAUUUUGUCACUCUGAAGCAUGUGGGGGUCAUUUCUCAUCAAGAAAGACGACUGCAAAAAUCUUACAAUGUGGAUUCUACUGGUCCAUCAUGUUCAAAUACAAAUAUGCAUUCUGCAAAACCUGUGAAAAUUGUCAAAAGGUGGGAUUUAUUUCAAAACAUAGAGAGUCUUUAGAUAAUCUUCUAUUGACUCUUAAGUCUCAUCGUAAUGGAGAUGUGCAUCGUGCAAUUCAUGAUUUAUAGCCCUAUUUUCAUAAAGAACAUGAUCGACUUAGUCUUGAGAAUCUAACUAAAAAAGACCCUGUUUGUCAGUUUUUAAGAAAACUGGAUGGGAAGCGUAUCCCUGACCCAUAGAGAGUGUUUAAGCCAUUCUUGGACGUAAAAUCAAGGGAAGAUGUGAGCCACGAUCACAACUACGAUUUAAGCCUUAGGUUGCAAAAAUUUAUGUAUUUUGGUUUUAUUAAUAGCAUAAUAUUUGUGUUCUGUUGUUUCUUAUAUUUGUUUAAGUGUGUUUUAGGUUUGUUUGUAGUCGCUAUUUUAGGUGAUGUCUUCUAUAUUCUAUCUUUCUGCCUUAAAACAUUGAGGACAAUGUCUCCUUUUGUUUGGGGGGAGAGGGUAGUAGUUGACAAAAAAAAUAUUACUAAUUGUGUUUUCUAUUAUUAAAAUCAUUUGCAAAACUGUUGUUACUAGGAUGGCAGAGUAAAUGAGGAACUUUAAUAACUCUUGAGACGCAUCUUAGUAAAUAUUUUUAACAAAGUCUAUCAGAAUACUUCUUGAAAUAUUCAGGUUUACAAACUCUUGUAUUGUUAUCACUUGAUUCUGCUCAUAUACUCAUUUAAUAAAUAUUCCUAAACCUUUAUUUUCACACACACACUUUAACAUAUGAUUGUGGGUUGCACAUUGGAUUAUUACAUUAUUUAUGUUCUUUUGUUAAAGGUAACAACUAAGGGAAAGGGAAUAUAUAAUAUUCAAAAAAAUAAACAAAACAAAAACAAAAGCAAAUUGAUAAUAAAAUGAAUAAAUAAUGAAAAAGUAGAUAAGUUUGGAUUCGUAGCUCUUACUUAAGCAAUUAAGCCCGAAGGGGUGUUUUAACACCUAGUNNNNNNNNNNNNNNNNNNNNNNNNNNNNNNNNNNNNNNNNNNNNNNNNNNNNNNNNNNNNNNNNNNNNNNNNNNNNNNNNNNNNNNNNNNNNNNNNNNNNGCUUGUUACAUGGGUUGAGGAGAAAGCUUAAGAGAAUCAAACAUUGCACUAUCUACGUAUCAGUAUCUGCAACCCGAGUUACUAAGCUCGUAGGGGUGUCUCAACACCUGAUGCCCUUAGACCAACUAGUUUGGUAGUCAUUAGCCGAAAGCUCGUUACAUGGGUUAAAGAUGCAUUGUGUUUUAAGUUAUAUGUAUAUAUACCAAAAUAAUAAUAAUAAUAAUAAUAAUAAUAAUAAUAAUAAUAAUAAUAAUAAUAAUAAUCCCAACUCAAUGAAGUUAACCUUAGAAAAAUAUUAGAACAGAACAUUGUUUUCUUCCAAUAAAAGCCCCAUCAUCCAUGUUUUCAUAUAUUAAGCACAUAAAAAGAAGGUUUAUUAAUAUCUUGUUUAAGAAGUAUAAAGCAGAUAUAUAAAUGAGAGUUUGUUUAUUUGGAUAGAUUAAUGGAAGUUAAAUGAUAAAUGUCUUACUUUGUGGAACUUUCAAAUUGUUUUUCUAUUUUAACACUUUGAUUACUAGGGACUAGUAAUAAGCUGAUUGAGGGGUGUAAUUAGUACUUAAAAGUGCAUUUUCAUUAAGGUUUUAUAUUAUCAUAUUGCACUAAAGUAUCAUUAAAUUCCCUAACUAAAACAUGUUUUACAAUAACAAGAGUCAUAAAUUGAUUAAACAAGAGUCCAAGGGUGUUUCUUAGAUAUUUUGGGUUAAAAAUAGGUUGAAAUAGGUUUUUUGGUUGAAAAAAUAAGAAUCCUAUUCAAAAAAUAAUUUUUGCAUUUAUGUUUUGAUUAAUUCCUCUUCUUGGUGAUCGAUUUUUUUACUUAUUUAGUUUUUUUAAAUAACAAUUAUUUUUAUAUUAUAUAAAUAUUAAAGAUAAAUUAAAUUUUUAUUAAUAAUAAAUAUAUAUUUAUGUGAAUAUAAUAAAAUCAAGUAUAAAAACAGACGAUAGAUGAUGUGAGAACUCAAUCCCAUUCCAUUUCAGAAUCAAAAUGGGGAAUAUUUCCCGGCUCAAAGGUGCAAGAAAGUUGUUCGCUUAGGCUGUGGCAUGUGUAUAUUGAAUUCUUUGUUUCGAACAGAUCCAUUAUCCCGCUUGACAAACUGAGAGAUGAAAAAGGAAAAAAAAACCAUGAUUAAUAAACAAGAGAAAAGGACUAAUCAAUGGUUUAAUUUUCAAUUUCGAACAACAUAGUACAUACAUUGCAAAAGUCAAUAUUUUUAUUUAUAGAAUUUUGAUCUUUCUUGUUGUGGAGAAUUUCCCAUUUAACUUCAUCAACAUAUAUUAUGCUAUUAAUUAUAUAUAUAAAAAAUUUAAACUCAUAAUUAUUGUGAAUUCGUUAAAAUAUAAAAAUAUCUCAAUUUAAAAACUUAAUUUAUUCGAAUAAAAUUUUAAAAUAUUAUUUAUAUUAUUUUUUAAUACUAAUAAAUAAAUAAUCAUGUUCUUUGCCACACUCUUGAAACUAGUGAAAACUAUUUUUAUGGACCAUCAAACGUGGGAGAUUUUUUCCUAGAAAAACAAGAUAGGUUAUUGUCAAUCAAAAGAUUAGCGUGACUUUACACAGCUAGAGCGCAUUCUUGUUGACUAAUUAAUAUUGAAUUCAAGGCUUUGAUGUAGCAAAAAUCAAGUUGGUGAGGCAUGUGAUGCAAAUCUUUCCAAUCUCGACCAAGCCUAAUAAACCAAAAACUAUAAUAUAUAUAAAAAAUAAACCUAACCAUCUAUACUUUUCCUUCUAAAUAUUCAUACCUCUUCAACUUUAUUAUACAUUUCAUGAUAAUCACUUGAAACUACAAGAGAGGAUUACCAUACGAGCUGCCAAUGAAACACAGUCAAACCAAGAAAAAUCCCAAAUGGCUUACAAUGUCCAUGCAUUUCUCCAUAGACUGCGCAGGAUAAAUAACAUAUGAUUUCCAUGCAUGGUAGGUUAAGGUUUGCUCAAUUGAGUCAAAUUCCCAUGCAAGUCAAAAAGGCAAGGAAGUAAGUAGUGAUACUUGAAUUAUUUACUAGUACAAUCUUGGAGGCUGCAACACCGAUCAACACGAUUUUAACUAAGAAAAUUGAUUGAGUAAUUAAUUGUCUAGCUAGUCUUAAAACCUUAUAUUAUAUUGGGUCAUUUUCGUAUUAUACAAGCACACGUUCGUCUAGUUAACUUGUUUGAAUUUCAUUUGGUCUCCGAUAUUAUUCUCCCAAAGUUUGUAAGCUUAUCAUUUUAAUAAUCAAAAUUACUUAAUUUGAUAAUUAGUCAACCACACAUUUUGAAUAUCGUUAAUUAAAUGAUGAUGUGAGCUCCAAUUGCAUUGAUUUAUACAAUCUUCAUGUGAACGGUGUGGUCGAGAUUCUUUAAUAUACUCAUACGUGAGAUUCUUUAUAUAUAAUAUACUUAGACAUGAGAUUCUUUAUAUAUAUAUAUAGUAAUGGAUUUCUUUGAGUAGUCUACAUAUUAAUUGAGAUUAGAUUUUUUUUCUCCAGUGAUCUUAAUUGUGUAUCUACUACAUUUGCUUGAUGUGUCUCGAUGAAUUUCAUAAAUUUUCUUGAAUACUAACUCUAAAUUUUGAAUACAAAAAGUCAAAAAAUAAAACAAAUCCCUUUUAAAAUGGCGAAGAGAGCUAGAUAUGUGGAAUGUGCAUCUUUAGAAUUCAACUUAUCAUGUUGUUGAACGGGAACAAUCUAACGUUUUGGAACCACCUAUGUGAACUUGGCAUAACAUGCAGGAGAAUUUAUUAAAUUCUUUUGAAAAUAUUAGGCUAAUAUAGGAAGUAUGUCUUUAAAAAUCACUGAAAAAAUAAUUUUAGUUUACAUGCAAGUUAUCCAUCGGAAAAGAUAUAAGUUAUUUGUGUAAGUUAGGGAAAUUUUUCAUAUAUUAUAACUAGAUUAUUUCUCAUAGCUAUGCUGUGAAUUGAAUUAAAUUUUUUUAAAUGUAAAAAAAAAAAUAUCUAAGCCAUGAAGAACUAUUUAAGAUUAUUAUUAAAUCUAGUUUAGUGUGUCAAACUUGAAAACUCCUGACCGAACUCCUUAUCUAAUCAUAUUUCAAAUUAAAUCUUGUAUAAUUAUUCUAACGUGACCUAGUCGACUUAGUGGAUAUAAAAGCUAAAAAAUAAAAGAAAAAAUAAUGACCAAAAUAAAAGUAAAGAGAGAGAGAUCAGGCGCACGAGUCUAAAGACAAUAUGGAUAAUUAGUAAAAACAUAGUUUGACUUUUAAAAAAAAUUCAAGAUAACUUUUUUUAAAAAAAAACAAUCAAACAGUGAUAUAUUGAAUCGAUCUGAGUUAACUCGUCAAACUUGUGAUCAGGAUCAUGAAUUCCACUAGAUCUAAUAACAAUUAAUUAUAUGAUAAAAAAUAUGAAGACUAGUUCAAAACCAACUAAAUAUUGAAUGAAAAAAAUGAAUUUUUUUUUAAAAUACAGCAAAAACUCAAUGUUGAAGGAUAAAACUUGAGAGAAAAAAAAUACAAGGCAUGUGCGUGAACUUGGAUUAUAACAACGAAAAAAAAAUCUUAGCUUUGUAAAGAUAUCUUAAGCCUUUAACUCAGGAAAACAAAAUGAUUUUUUUUUCUACAUUUAGUAUCAGUAAUCCAUAUUGUCAUUUUAAUCUCAUGGUUUAAUUCAAUUCGAUAUAACACAUUCAUGUACAUUACAAAUAUCAUACAAUUAUGAUUGAUGUUUCUAAUUUUUAUCAAAAUUUCAGCAGAGUCUUCUUUGUCCAGGUAACCAAACAGUUCUUCUCUUCUUCUAAAAACCUACAUAACGAUCAAGGAAAGUUUCAAAUCCCACACAUAACAAUUUAUAUCCAGGUAUUGGGCCUCAGGCCAUUCAAUCAAUCAAUCAAUUCAUAAUAGUUCACACCUAUUAAAGUUUAUUGCGUACAUUUAAAUAAUUUAAACUUAACUUUUCAUCAAGAUAGCAUUUCAUUACAAGAACAACGUUGUAAACAUUAUAAAUACUUAUUCAUAUUACAAUCCCCGUUCAUUUGAAUUACAAUAUACUACUAAGAACUCAUCUAACAUUGUAACUAAGAAAAUUAGAAUCUUGUCUUAGCAUGUGAUAUUCCAGAUCAUAAACAUGAAAAAUAUAGAAAUUUAAAUAAGAUAUUUAUUGCAACACAAUUAAAAUAUGUCAGAUACAAUAUGUAUAUGAUUUUUCAUGGAGCAAACCUCCAUAAUUUCUUUUGAUAAUAAUAGAAUCGACUCAUUUGUCAUAAUCUCUACUAAUUUUAAGUAUUGUAUAGUCACCUCGUCAAGGUAAUUCCAAGCUUUAUCUUCUCAUCUAAAAGUUAUAUCUUGUUCAUAAAUCCAUCUUGGAAACUUUAUCUAUCGAAGCUCACCAUAAAGUUUUAUUAAUGGUAAUUAAAGGCCUAUUCCACGUAUCCUACCCUAUGCUAUUAAUUUAUCAAAGGUAAAUUAUCAUUUGUACUCUUUGCUCUAUAUGUUUCUUAAGGAAUUAAAUCCUUUACUAGUAUCGCCCUACAAUUUUAAAUAAAUAUAAUUAAUGAUUUAUUGAUUUCUAUUUUCCAUAAUGAAUCUUUAACAUUGAUUUAACUUAAUUUGGUUUUAGCAACAUAUCAUUCAUCUUACAACAAACUUUUAUGUACACAUGUCUUAACAUGCAUCAAUACACUUAUUUGUCCAUUGGAUUGACCAUCAUAUAGCUUGAAAUAUACAAUCAUAGAUGUCCAUGUUCUUGUCCUAUUAGGCCACCAAGACGAUUUUCAAAUCUCUUAUCAUGUUGUACUGGAAUCAGUAUAUAUUUAUGCCCUUUUACAUUAUCAAACAAUCACCAUUUUCUUCAUGAAUACACCAUCAAAACCGCAUACAUUCAACUACACCACAUUAUACAAACCAAUUCUUUAUUAUAACCUGUUUCACUAUCAUUACAAUCCUUAGAGUUCUCAUGCAUAUGUUGUCCACAACAAUAUUUAAAAUCUAUUUUCAAGUCAUUUUCACCUAGAAAACAUUGUUGUUCCCCUAAUAACUCUUUGCUCAUAUAAUAGAUUGUCAAAACAACCUAAAAAUUACGCUUCGAUGCAGCCCAAAACAUAACACAUGUAGUAAUAUUAGUCAUCACACCGUGAUUGACUACCCAAUAGAUUCUAAUAUUGUUAUUGUCGCGGGUGCGUGACGUCGCGGCGAAUAUUCCACUUUUAAAAUCUAGGAAGUGUGUAUGGUAUCUAUCUGGCAAAUGUGGGGAGACAAGAAAAUAUUGUCUUUUGUUGGUAGAAAAUGGAAUGGGAGUCGCCACCUAGUAUUUUGGUCACUAGGAACCCUAACUGGUCUCAGAGAUUGGGUACGGGGACUGGUUGCGUAAAGGGAAGGUAUUAGCACCCCAAAUACGCCCUACCUAAGGUAAGCUGCAUUGUUUAUUUGUCUGAUAAAAUUCAAGGUCUCGUUGUGUUUCCUAGUUGUUGGUCCGUCUAUGGUUCAAGAAAAGUCCUCCUCAAUAAGGAGGUCCUUAUCUUAUCGGGUAAAAACCUAAUCCUUCUAACGUCUAUGUAUGUUGGUCCGUCUAUGGUUCAAGAAAAGUCCUCCUCAAUAAGGAGGUCCUUAUCUUAUCGGUUAAAACCUAACCGUUCUAACGUCUAUGAAAAACCAUAUUUUUAAUAUCAGGAAUACGUCUUACGUAUAAAUUCGUAAUCCCAUGUACUAAAAGAAGACAAAAAGAUUUUUUAGAAUUUUUGAAAUAUUGGCCUAGUUCUCAUGGCUUGAAUAAACUGGUUAUUAAAGCCAAAAUGCAUGCUAAUACAUAUAUUGUUUUGAAAUUUUCUUUGUUGUGUGAAAAAUAUGAUGUUAUAAUAUUUAUAUAUAUAUAUUGGAGAGACUAGGCCGUAUGCAUGAAAACAAAACAUUUUUUAAAAUAUUUUAUUUAUUUUUUUAUGUCUUGACGAAAACCGGGUAUUUGAAUACCGGAUUUGUAUCUUUACAGUAUAAAAAUACAAAUCGAUAUUGAUCAAAAUACAGUAAUAAACUUGCAGAAAAUCACAUAUUUUUUUGGAAUAAUUUUCGAAGAAAUUAAUUAAUUUUUCUAUAUAUAUAUCUAGAUAUAAAUAAUACAAAAUACAAUACAAUAUACAUCGUAUAUAAUAUAUAAUUGGGCUGGGCUGGGCCGGCCCAACGAACUAGGCCGGACUCAGCCCCAAAAUGUGUUGGGCCGAUCUCGGGCCAAGAGGUAUUGGGUCGAUCUCGGCCCAAACAAAAUCUAUUUUAUCAUGGGCCGGAUCCAGCCCUGCCAGCAGGGCUGGGCUAGGAUCAGUCCGGCCCACAGAAGGAAACCCAUAUUGCUGGGCCAGAACCAAUCUGGCCCAGCCUAAUUAAAAACCAACGGGGGGAAUUAUUUCCCCCCCAUCCUGCAUGCAGAACGCUGUUCGUUCUGCAUGCAGGAGAAGAACCAAACCGAUGCACAAAGAGGGGGGAGAAGAGCACCUGGCGUGGAAGAGGCGGUGCGUUGCUGGUAUGUCCGCGGUGCUGCGGUGGAGGCUGGUGGCUUCACUGGCGUGCACUGGUCCCGGUUGGAAGAAGAAGGAGCAGAUUCCUACAGAGGAGAAGGAAAGCUCUCGGCUGGAGCUAUUGGUGUGACUGAGGAAGGAGCUACUACUCCGGUUGCUGCUGGGCGUCGCUGGAGGAAGGAGGACUGCUGUUGGCCGGUGAAGAAGCUGGAAGGCGGAGGCUUGCUCCUGUGGAGGUUGUCACUGCUGAGGAGGCCGCGGGAGGCGUUGCUGGGGCUGUUGAAGCUGCGAUGAAGGAGAAGCUGAGGUGAAGAUCUGUUGCUGGCGUUGUGUUGAUGGGAGGGAGAGGGGACAAUGUUUCUUUGGGACUGCUGGAAGAGAAUGAGAGGAAAGGGAGGGGGCUGCCCCGGUUUGGCUUUGCAAGAGAGGGGGUUGUCCCUUGUUGCUGGCUGCUGAGGGGAAGAAGAAAAUCAAGGGGAGGGGAGAGGUGUGUGAGGGCUGUUCGGGUGUGUGGGUCUGUGGGGGGCUGGACUACGGCCGGCUGUCACUGGUUGAGGGAGAAGAAGCUGGAAAAAGAAAACUGGUUGCAGGAAAACCGGGCUGGAAAAGCUUAUUUUGUGCCAAUUUUGAGCUCCAUCCCACCAACCCUUUGAGCAUGAAAAUUGCUCCUAUUUAUAGGGCUGGAAAGAGGGUAAUCUUGUCUUCAACGGGGAAAAAGUCUCAGCCCUUGAUUCGACUCGAGUAAUCCAAACCAUUAGUUCAAAGUGUGCACCUCGAACUGCCAAAUUUGCAGACUACCCGAGGUGCACGAUUUGGGCCAAAAAACGGAGCCGUUCCAAACCUUUUUGACCCGACCGGACCACUCCCCAUGAUAAAUGGGUUCCAGGUGGAUAUGUUGGUGCAUGCUUUGUCGGAUUUGGGGGCCAAACGAGGCAGAAAACACGCCUGGAAGUCGGCCACUCGGGCAACUCGGUGGGGAAGAAAAUGAACAGUACCGGGCGACGCGUCGCCUGGUUCCUGCCCCUUCUUCUUCUUUUUUUUUUUAAAAUGCAAAAACGGUGCCGUUUUGAUAAAAAUAGGGAUUUCUUUGCCAAUUUUCAAUUUAGUCCUCCGACUUUCAAUUUCGUUCAAGAUUAUUCCCUAAUUGACCCUAAAACUUCUGAUUUGAUGCAAUUUAGUCCCGGCAUAACUUCAUCUUCGGCCCCAGAGUUACGCGCCUUUUGCAAUAUGGUCCUUGGUCUCGGAUUUAUGCAAUUUCAUCCCUAAUUGACCAUUAAACUUUCAAUUUCUUCAAUUAGGCCCCUGAACCGAAUAAUCGCAGCCCCUCCAUUUACGCGCCUCUUCCAAUUUGGUCCCUGGUUUCGGAUUUUCUCAAUUAAGUCCCCAAUUGGCCCUUAAACUUCAAUAUUUAUGCAAUUAGACCCCUGAUUUGACCUAAUAAAUUCCUAAAAAAUAUAUUUUGGCCCCAGAACUUAAAUUUCUUCUAAUUAAAGCCCAAAUUGACUUAAAAAUCAAUUUUUCUUACAAUCAAAUCUCCUAUAAAUUCAUUUAAAAAUCCAAUUAAGUCCAUAAACAUCCAAAUUUGGGCUUUUCUCCUCAAAUUUCAAAUUUUCCUUCUCAACAGGGCUAUCCUCCUUCAAGAAUAUACUGUCAAAAAAUCCAAUCUUUGUAUUUUUAACCUCAUUGACCAAUUUUCCAACCAUUUUCUGAGCGCUUCUGCCUUCUGUUUUUUCUAACCUCCUUUGGCUAUAUAUUUUUAUAUAUAUUUUGUGGGGACCCAAAAAUGGGUUACAACAGUUAUUGUCUAAUACUACUAGUCUUUUAACUCUAAAACACCCUAAAAUAACACAAACAAAGGGGUUUUUAUUUGUUUAGAAAUCUAUUUUCAAGUCAUUUUCACCUAGAAAACACCAUAAAAACAUUCCUAAACCAUCCAUUAACUCUAAAACACCCCAAAAUAACAGAAAAAAUAAAAAUCAAACUAAUCAAGAAAAUCUUAAUUGAAUCCAAUCUACUUUUCAAGUAUUGUUAGAGAAAAAGUCAUCGCUAUUUGAAAACUCAUCAUUAAAUGAAACUCAUUGAGACCAAGAACAACAACUUUUAUCGCUGAAAAGUGUUAAACCGAUAAUUUUCUCUUUUCUUAUUAUUUUUUAAUGAGUCUCUCUCAUCUGUGUAACUCGGGGUUGAGAAUAAGAAAAAUAAAUUUUUAGACUAAAAUAUUAAAAAUUCUAAAACUUUGAAAUUAACAAUGUAUUUUCUUCAUGUUUUACAUUUCACUCCUCUCACUUUUAAUUUGGUUUUUAUUAUCAAAAUUGUCGCACGUGAGCGACGUCGCGGCGAUCGUCCACCCACAAAUGUAAUGGGGGGAUAUAUAUCUGGUCAAUGUAGGGAGAUAAGGAAUUCGUUGUCUCUUAGCAGUGAAAAAUGGUGUGGGAGUCGCCACCUAGUAUUUUGGUCACUAGGAACCCUAACUGGUCUCAGAGAUCGGGUACGGGGACUGGUUGCGUAAAGGGAAGGUAUUAGCACCCCAAAUACGCUCUACCUAAGAUAAGCUGCAUCGUUUUAUUGUCUGAUAAAAUUUAAGGUGUUUUCGUUGUGUUUCCUAGUUGUUGGUCCGUCCAUGGUUCAAGAAAAGUCCUCCUCAAUAAGGAGGUCCUUAUCUUAUCGAGUAAAACCUAACCGUUCUAAUGUCUAUGUAUGUUGGUCUGUCUAUGGUUCAAGAAAAGUCCUCCUCAAUAAGGAGGUCCUUAUCUUAUCGGGUAAAAACCUAACCAUUCUAAUGUCUAUGUAUGUUGGUCCGUCUAUGGUUCAAGAAAAGUCCUCCUCAAUAAGGAGGUCCUUAUCUUAUCGGGUAAAACCUAACCGUUCUAAUGUCUAUGUAAAAAAGCUAUAUUUUUAAUAUCAGGAAUACAUUUUACGUAUAAAUUCUUAAUCCCAAAUACUAAAAGAAGACAAAAAGAUUUUUUUAGAAUUUUUGAAAUAUUGGCCUAGUUCUCAUGGCUUGAAUAAACUGGUUAUUAAAGCCAAAAUGCAUGCUAAUACAUAUAUUGAUUUUUGAAAUUUCAUUUGUUGUGUGAAAAUAUGCUGUUAUAAUAUUUAUAUAUAUAUAUUGGAGAGACUAGGCCGUAUGCAUGAAAACAAAACAUUUUUUUUUUGUAAUUAUGUAUUUUUUGAUGUUUUGACGCAAAUCGGGUAUUUUAAUACUGGGUUUGUAUUCUUACAGUAUAAAAAUAUAACCAAAUAUUAAUCCACUUUGAUAAAACAAAUGCAGAAAAAUUAACAAUAUUUUUAAAGAUAUUUUUAGAAAUAUAUAUAUAUAUAUUUUUAAUUAUCAUAUUUUAUAUAUAUAUACAUAUAUACACACAUAUAUUAUAACAUAUUAUAAUAUAUAAUAUAUAAUAUAAAAACAAAUCGGGCUGGGCCGGCCCAAGUAAAUGGGCCGGACUCAGCCCAACAAAGAAAGGUUGGGCCGAUCUCGGCCCAGACUGGGUUGGGCCGAUCUCGGCCCAACAGGCCAUCAUGCUUCUUCUGUGACGGGAUACUGUACACAACAGUGACUGAGAUACUGUACACAAAUAGUGACGGGGUACUGUGCACAAAUAGUAACCGGGUUACUGUACAUAAGCACAGUAACCCGUUAAUUAAUUAGGUGGCUACUGUGCACCUGCACAGUAACAUGUUAAUUAAUUAGACCUGCAUAGUAACCGGGGGAAUUAAUUAGCCGGUUACUGUGCCCCUGCACAGUAACCAGCUAAUUAAUUUCUUGCUUGCAGAACGUGCACAGUGCACGUUCUGCAUGCAAGAAGAUGAACAGGGGAAGAGUUACCUGCGACGAUGAGCUUGGGUAGAGGAGCUGACAGUGGUGCUGGUGGUGGUUUUGCUGGUGGUUGCUGACCGAAGGUUGGCUCUUCCUCUUCUCUACUGCUUUCUAUGUUAUUUCUCCUCUCCUCUCUCUCUUCUGUUUUUUUUCUUCCUCCUUCCUGUGUCUGUUCUCUUCUCUAUUUAUAGGAAAAAAUGGAGCAGGUGCGCCUUCAAUCACGCAACGGCUGGUCGGCCAGUGACCCGUUCGGUGGUCUAAAGGUGUGGGGACGAGGAGAGAGAGGCGGGACUUUUUUUGAAAAUGGUUUUUGUCUUCUGUUGUUGUUCAACGGGGGAAGGAGGAAGAUGAACAGUGUCGUUCAAAACGACACCGUUCUGGCCUUCCUCUUUUUUUUUUUUUUUAUAUGAAACGACGUCGUUUUGGAUAAAACGCGUCGUUUCAUUUAAAUGAGCCAAACUUCAAAUCAGUCCUCUAUCAUUUCUUGUUCAUUUCAAUUGUAUCCCUGCCAAAUUCGAUCUCCGCCCCCAUAGUUGGCCGCGUUGUUCACUUUAGUCCUUGGCCUCUGAUUUAUGCAAUUAAGCCCUCAAUUGAUCAAUAAACUUCCAAUUUCUUCAAUUAGGCCCCUGAACCAAAGUAAAACAGCCCCCCUCUAUUUACCCGGUUUUUCCAAAUUGGUCCCUGGUUUCGGUUUUUUUAAUUAAACCCCUAAUUGGUCAUUAAACUUCAAUAUUUAUUCAAUUAAACCCCUGAUUUGACCCAAUAAAUUCCUAAAAAAUAUAUUUUGGCCCCAGAACUUAAAUUUCUUUCAAUUAAAGCCUAAAUUGACUUAAAAAUCAAUUUUCUUGCAAUCAAAUCCCCUAUAAAAUCAAUUAAAAAACCAAUUAAGUCUAUAAACAUCCAAACUUGGGCUUUUCUCCUCAAAAUUCAAAUUUUCUUCUCAACAUGGCUCUCAUUCUUCAAGAAUAUACUGUCAAAAAUCCAAUCUUUGUAUUUUUAACCUCCUUGACCGAUUUUUCUGACCAUUUGCUGAGCGCUUCUGCCUCCUGUUAUUUUUCUAACCUCCUUUGGCUAUUUAUUUUAUUUCAUUUAUUUGGGGACCCAAAAAUGGGUUACAACAAAAAUUUCAAACCAUCAUCAGGCUAUAAAAAGAAUCAAUUGAAAAACAAAUUUUGAAGACAAAAAUUAAAAAAAAAGGGACGGAAAAAAAAAGGAGGGUAGUUUUUUUAGUUAAAGCUGAUGGUUUCUAGCCAAAAAAAAAAAGAAGCAAUGGGGGUUGGGGUGCCACGUGUAAGGAGCCCAUUAUGUAGGUGGUGGGUGAAGUCAGCUAGAGCUAAGCAUCCAUUUUUUGUGGGGUUUUUCUGGUUAGAUUUGCCUGUUGGAGGAUCGUAGCAUGGGAUUAUAUUUGGUUGUAAAGGAAAGUGUCAAUUUAGGAGCCACCAACCAUCGACAAGUUAGUGAAAAUGGUGUCAAGUGCCGCACCCACCACCUCCUUCGAUCAAUCACCUCAUCAUCCAUGUAAUUAACCCUUUUUUGUUCUAUCACUUUUACGUUACUAAACACUUCCACUUCUAUUAGACGUGUGGAAUGAUUCGAUUUCUAGUUUUUUUAUUUGUGAAUCAAAUUAAGACUUGAAGCUAGUAGAUGGAUGUGUCUAAUCAACUUUUUUGGAUCCAAUUUCAUGAAAACUUUUAUCUCAAAACAUCAUAGAAAUAAGUUGUAUGUCUUAAAGGAUAUCUAAUAAAAUCUUAAAAGUUGGGAGUUAAAGAUAUAAUUUAUAUUAUAUUUUAAUAUAUUUUUUAAUUAAAAAUUAUUUCAGUUUAAAUUAAAUUUACAAAAGAUUAUACUAUUUUAUACAUAAAAAAUUAUCAAUCACCUCAUCAUCCAUUUUUUUGAUCUAUCACUUUUACGUUACUAAACACUUCCACUUCUAUUAGACGUGUGGAAUGAUUCGAUUUCUAGUUUUUUUAUUUGAGAAUCAAAUUAAUACUUGAAGCUAGUAGAUGGAUGUGUCUAAUCAACUUCCUUUGAUUCAAUUUCAUGAAAUGUUUUAUCAUAAAACAUCAAUAAAAAUGUGUUGUAUAUCUUGAACCGAUAUCUAAUAAAAUCUUAAAAGUUGGGAGUGAAAGAUAUAAUUUAUUUUAUUUUUUUAAUUAAAAAUUAUUUCAGUUUAAAACUUAAAGGAUUAUACUAUCUUAUACAUAAAAAAGUAAUUCAUAACUAUUUGGUUAUCAUGUAAAAAAAAUAUUUUAAAUUAAAAAAUUUAAACUUUUAAAAUUAUAUAAAUUCUUGCUCUCUUUUGAAUAACCUUUCGUACUGUGGUGUUUCAUGGGUAAAUAAAACAUGAUAAAAUAUAAUAAGAAAGAAUUUUGCUAGGAAAAAUACAAAAAUGAGAUACCAAAUCUAUUUAUUUAAUUGAACAAAACUAUUUUUCUAUCAAUCUCACAUGUAUAUCAAACAAUGAAGGAUAAAUUAGAAAGUGGACUUGUCACUAAUUAAAUGUAUAUAUUAUGAUUUUUAUUUUCUAAGAUGAUAUAUUAUGAUUUUUUUUAUUAUUAAUGUAAGUGUUCGGACUAGUUUGUGUGUACCUCAACUAAUCUCACGGGUUUUGAAGUUAAUGAUCAUGUAAAUCUUCAAUGAUCCUGAGAUUUGUAAGACUCGAACUGGUGAUAUCUAGAGAACAAAUUUAAAAUAUGAUGAAUUAAGUUUCACUUCUCAUGAUUAAUAUAUUUAGAGUUUUGAAUACUUAAAAGGAGGUGUUGUUUUUAUUUUUAUUUUCAAAUCUAAGAACCUCAAAAACUUUUAGGAAUCUCAAAAAAACUCAUUUUUUUAACCCCAAAACAUUUAAUUAGCCUAAAUAAUGAAAAUCAAUCUGAAUAAAAAAAAUAUUGGUCUAAUAUAUUUUUUCUAGCAUGGUUAAAAGGCAAAAUCAUUUUUAUUGAACUUCUUUUUUCAAAACAAAUCCAUUGAUGUUAAAAUUAGGUUUUUUAUGAUCGGAAUAUGAUUAGCUUUACCACAUUCUCCCCCUCUCAACAUUCAAUAACUAAAAAUAUGAUAAAAAUGAAGUUUUAAGAUGGAGUCGUAAAAAUUUUAAACAACAUGAUUAAAUAAAUCUGAAAAACAAAAAAUUCAAGGACCAUAUUAAACUUUUCUACAACUUUGGAAAAAGAUUGCAUUAUAGGAGAAUAGUUUAAUGCACAAUAACUUGAGUCUUGCUGCACAAUAAAAUUUAUUAUGGUAAGAAUAACAAAUGUUUUAAUUUAGAUUAUAACACGAAGCAUACACAAUUAAGAUUACAACAAGGAGAUUUCAAGAAGUAGUUAAACUUAGGUUAUAACCUAAGUUUUAAUAUAUUUUUUACAUUUGAUUUUAAUUUUAAUUUUUUUUAAGUAAGUUAAAAUAGCUUUUGAUUUAAAUUUUUUUUUUGUUAUAAAUUGGAUUCAAACCUUUGAUUUAAUAAAAAACAAGAAAAUUUUACUUUAGUUUGUGGAUUUUAUACUGAAUUCCUUAUUAAAAAGUUAUUUUGAAUCAUUUUUACAAAUAAUGCUUAUAACUUACGGUUAUUUUAAUUUAUUUUUUUCAUAAAUUAUUUAUAAAAAACAACUUUUAAAUUACAAUUCAAAGUAAAAUAUCAUAAUUAGUUAUGAAUUGGAUUCGAUGAAAGGAAGAUGGGAAGAGGGGAAAUGGGUAACGGGAAAUUAAAGAGAGAUGAUGAUCUGCGCAUGGCUACCUGUACCAGAACAGAUGGAAAAAACUCGAAACAACUCGGCUAGAAUUUAGGCAAGAAAUUCAGAAUGAGUCAACAUUUUAAGUGAGAUGAAAUUUGUCUCACUUUCUUCUAUUAAACCGAGGAGCAUUUAGAGGAUAGAAUAUUAGAGUCUCUAGCAAAAGUCAGCAAGGUAUAUUUAGAGCCAAAUUCGGGUAACAAAUUAUCAUAACCAACUGAUCCAUUUCGGCUCGGAGGCUUCAGUUUUGUACCGGUCAUCAACUGGUGCUCUUUGCUUUGCAGCCUUCGAGGAAGAAGUAAAAGCCUCCAAAAAUAUCAUCAUCAUUAUUAACAGAUGAACUAGACCCGUUUAACCCACCAAAAUAUAUCAUCAUUAAAAGAUGAUUUCGCACUCGUAUUUUUAGUACUGGAAAACACAAAAUCAUAACCGAAAUCAAACCCAGUGCUAUUUUGUUUUUAAUUCUUUUGAAAAACAUCAAAAAUGUCAAAAUCAUCAUCAAAAUUCUAUAAUUUCAUCAUUAAAAGAUGAUUUCGCACUCGUAUUUUUAGUACUGGAAAACACAAAAUCAUAACCGAAAUCAAACCCAGUGCUAUUUUGUUUUUAAUUCUUUUGAAAAACAUCAAAAAUGUCAAAAUCAUCAUCAAAAUUCUAUAAUUUUGAAUUGCUAAAGAGAGUUUCGUGAUAAUCCAUGAAUGACCUAUCAAAAGAAUUGGAAUUGUAGGUUAAUUUAGAAGAAUAUGAGGAGGGUUUCCGGUUUGAUGAAGGGAAAUUCAAAUAACUAAACUGGCUAUAUGUUGAUGAAACAUGCAACAGAUUCCACCACCCAGCGGACAACAACAUUGAGAACAAAUCCGUGUGAGAAAUCAAUUUUAAUAGUCAUUUUAUUUUUUAAUUUGAGAGAAAUCACAAAUUCUUCACUGUUUAUUACUGAAAAAGAAGAGAGGGGGGAAGAAAUGAUGUCUUCAGAUGUUUCUGAAUUAUAGGAUGCUAGGGUAAUUUUUUUAUAUAUAAAUAUAUAAAUAGAAGAUUGUGUUAAAAAAUCAAAGGGAGCUUUUACAAGAAUACUAUUAUCUUUUUUCUUUUCUCAAAAUCAAUAAAAAGAAUUUCACUGAGAGAAAAAUAGUAUAUCAUCAAUCUAAUGACUGCAUUUAUCUUUACAAUCUUCCAAAGGAACAACUUUAUGUUAAGAAGAGGAGAAAUAUUAUAACAAAAUAAUUUUUAUGGAUUCAAACUAGUGUUAUAGACUCUUGUGAGUAAAAGUGUCAAUUCUCAUAAAAAAAAUUGCAAUUUGAUGACAUAAUGACUAAUACAGAGACACUAACAAACAAAUAAAAAUAAUAAUUUGUACAAAUACUCACCUAGCAAAGAGAGGAACGGAUAAAAGGUUCACCACGGUCAAUUUUUUUUCUUUUUCUUGGUUAAUUUUUUUUUUUGAAAAUGAUGAAUAAUGGGAAAAAAAGAAGAAGAAAAACUUGCAAAGAAGCACUUAUAAUGGAACAAGGUUAUGAUGACAAUCCCUGUAUCACACUCUCAAAUAAUAUAAUAUAUCCAUUAUAUUUUGCAUUAUAUAUAUAAACUAAAAGAGUUAGGCUUUUUGAUGGCAUCCAAGUGUAGUUGCUUUUUUCAUCCCGCUUUUUUUGUUUUAUUUUAUUUCAAUCAUUCAAUUUUGUUUCUGUUAUUUUAUCAUGCUUCGAGUUGUCUUUUUCAAUUUGAUUUGGUGCCAGCUUGGGAAUCACCAUUUUAAUUGUGGUUGUGAUUUCUAAUUGUUUGAUAGUAUUUCAAAAGCUGAUAUUAUAGCCUCUUCUAUAUGUUAUUUUCAGAAGUUACAAUUUAUAGCUUUUCAAAAGCCAUAAUUGCCUGUUUGUUUCUGCGUUUAAAAAACGUUUUUUAAAAAAAAAUUAAAUUUUUUUAAUUUUUUAUUAACUUUAAAUUAAUAUAUUUUUACUAUUUUUAAAUCAUUUUGAUGUGCUGAUGUCAAAAAUAAUUUUAAAAAAAUAAAAAAACAUCAUUGGCAUACAUUUUAGCACGAAAAGUUAUUUGAAAAACAACCGCAACCACAUUGUCAAAUUUCCAAAUAGAUUCUUGAUAGAGGGUUGUUUUGAUCUUGAGUGUUGUGCUUGCAAAGGAAUUACAAUUACUUUACACAUUAUAAUUAUAAAUUACUGUUUAAAACAAUUAAGAGAAAGGACCAAUAAUAUAGAGUGAGCAAAUGAAAGCAUAAAUUUAGAUUUUAUUGUGACAUAGAGAUUAGGUAAUCAUGAAAGUUGGUAAUAAUAUACUGUGAGCAAAGGAACCUGCUCGAAAAAACCAUUCAACAUGAGAUUGCUCUGCUAGGAAAACAUGAUAUCAGCAUCAAACUUUUGAACAAAUAGUGGAGCAUCAAGUCUCAGUCAUCUUGAAGUAUGUCGACAACAAGUCACAUAAGCAUAUGCAAUAGAAACAGAGCAUCAAACUGACAGAGAAAACAUACUGAUACCCUUAUUCACACAGAAAACAUACUGAUAGAUAAGUCGAAAUCUUCUAUGGUAAAUAAGACUGUUACAAUGUGAAGCCAAUUUGUAUCCCAUUGCCAAUGGAACAGUAGGAAUUACUUCCCACCAAUCAAAAACAUAUCUGCAGCACCACAGCUCAAAGACAUGAAUCUCCGUGAAAUCGCCUAUUGAGGAGUUGAUCGUGUAACAACCAACCAACCUUGCCUCAAGCAAACACGAAGAACAAAGACCAUCCAUGCAUAUUUAAUUCACCCAUUAAAAGUUGAAGGAUAAGGAGAGAAGAUAAAUAAUCAUAGCCAUGUUACCUAGUCAGGGCAAGGAUGAAUUAUUAGCAUGUUUCUCAAAUCCCAAUCCCAAACUAAUCAUUUCUCUUCAUUUUGUUGUGCUCAGCGAAGGAACUACCAAAUCUUACUGAAAGUAUUUAAGUGAAGACAACAAAUAGAUGUGUACUGUUUUAUUUGAACUGAAAAGAAUUGAUUGCUUACAGAUCAUUGCAAUCCUUACAAAUAUAUAGUAAACCAAACAAACUGAAUUGCUAACUUAAAGCACCAAAUCAUGCAAAAUGCUACCAUCAUUACCUUCAAAUCUAUAGUUAAUUCCAUUUUUCUAUAAAAGACAAAACCAUCAGUAUCCAAUAGUUGCCGACUUCACCACGGGUUCAACAUUUUUUUGACAAGUUGGGAUUCGAUACUAAUGAGCAUAUUUUCUUAAGUUGAAAUAGUGCUACCCAAUCUAGGUUACAGUGGGUUGAUGAAUUAAAGAGCAGUUGUUAUUUGACACUGCAAUUAGAUGGCUCAUAUUUGAUUUACGGAGCUAUGAUAUGGGAAUCGUGCUUGUAUCACAUAUAAAAAUAUUUACAUAGUAACAAGCAUUAUUAAAGAUGGUACACUAGUAAGUUUCCAAAUGCUAUCAACAAAUAUUAUAACCUCUUAAUUUAUACAAGGAUUGAGCUAAAUUGCAUACAAGCAAUCCCUAACUUUGGUAGUUUCUUUGUGUUAAAAAUGGAGACUUCUUGGUGUUUGCCGGAACUCCAACUUGGGUAUACCUUUUGUGAACAAGAAACAAGGUAAAAACAUCUUUCAACGAUAUCAAAUCAUUUAUUCAUAUAAAGUAUUAGUGUUGUCAUUUAAUUUCACUACAUUGAAGAAAAUUCUGAUUUGAUACCAAUUCAUGCUUGGCACGACUGUUACAUGACACCUGGGAUGCUCAGCAACACUACAUCCACAAUCAUGACAACGAACACUGAUGCAGCCUCGAAAACAUCAAAACACUAUUUGCUUUGGUAGUAGUAUUGACUGCAAACUUGGUUGACCAACAGAAUCCCUGCCUUCAGCCAACCCCAAAUUUGACUAUCAUCGUAUAAUAUUGAUCGUCACAUUAUAUUUUCCAACUUUUAAUAGGAUUUUAAGGACAAGUUACAGUUGAAAGCUAAUAUAACAACCUUCUUAAAUUCACAUCCUACCGACCAUUAUGGCUAUUAGCUUCCAACCAUUCUCCAUGUUUCACUUUUCUUCAAGUAUUUUCACCAAAAUAAAGCUUCAACCUUUAAAGUUUUGCUUAUAAAGUCAAGAUCCAUGGGGAUUAUUUAAGAUUUUAUGGGAAGCAUUUCAAAUAUUUUAUGUUUUUUUUUUUUUUAAAUAUUGUUAUAGACAUAGAAUCAACAAGAUUGUGUGACAUUCUAUAUUGAUUUUGUGAUAUUUUAAUCACUAAAAGUAUGGUUUCAGAAAGAUAAAAACCAAACAAAAAAUUGAAAAAAUUAAAAAUUUUCAAACCAACAGAAUCCAACAUAUUGAUCAGUUUUGGUCUGAUUUGAUUCGGAUAUUUUUUAGCUGAAACAAUUAAUAACCAUUUUCAAAAGGUAAGUAUUGACAAGCCUUUCACGAAACCAUGUUCAUUUAUGCUGAAUCAAUCCAAAUCAGGUUCAGGUUGCUAACUCAAACUAACAUAAUCCAAAAUUGAAUGCACACAGACUCUGGGUUGUUUCAGUUUAAUGAUUUUUAGAAAUGUCAAACUGAAACCGAACCGAAAUAUAUGAAUAUUUCUAACUGAGACGCCCCCAAAUACUAAAAAAAUGAUUGGUUUUGUUUUGUUUAGUUUGGUUAUAGCAGAUACCCCUAACAAUCUGCUUUUUCACUCGACAUCAAACAACAAGCACUAAUAUUAUGUCUGUAAGUAAAUUACUAUAAAGUAUAAAAAUAUAUGUGGAUAAUUGAAAAUUUGCUUAGAGUUGCUAAUAAUUCACAACUGCAACAACCAACACGACCAGGUAAUGCUUGGGAAUGGGAUCAUGUAAUGCCCGGGAAUGGGCCUUGGUGCACAAUCAUGAUUGUAACCAUGAUUUAAAAUCAUUUCCACACUAGACUAUCCAAGACAAUUGGUAUUGGAUUGUUAGCAACAAUUCAGUUUAUAAUAAUAAUAAUAAUGUUGAUUCUUUUAUCUCCUACUUAAUGCAAGUGUCCAUCGUGUGCUGAAAUUGAUUGUUUACCUCAUAUUUCUUUUAAAGGUAGAGAUUUCUUGGUUGACAAUGGGAAAAAGUAAUCGCAUGGUUAUUUUCCAUAAGAUUCAUUUGAGUAAAUAUUCUCUAUUGGAGGUCAAUUUCAUCGAAGCAAUUACUUCAAGGAACACAUCCUAACUAUCAACCUCUAAGUAGUCAUCUCCCUUAUCCUAAUUUUUUAUUUCCUAAUAAAAUCUCACGGUUUUUCAUCAUGUUCAAAGGAAAAGUUGACGUUGCAAAUGGUGCUCUAAGGAACCAAGUCAUCCUAGAACUAAUCAUCCACCUAAUCUCAUCAACUCCUUGUUGCACAAACAGCUUGUCUCACUUAAAGGGGAUUUUAAUGAUGAACAAACACCAACUCCUUGUUGCUCAAAUACAUAUGCUCAUUUAAACACAAUUUUGCAUUACCUAGAACUGACAAGGCCUAAAAUCCCGGAAAUAGAAUUUUGUUUUAAAGGAACUUCAGGAUUUCUAUAUAGGAUGCUUGACCUCAUUAAAGACAAACUGACGACAUCCGUCCGUAACAUAAAUUAUCUUCCUUGCCCCAAAGUCAGCACAUAAAAACCUUGUUCACUAUAAAGGCUCUGAAUGUUUUUCCUAAAUUUCAUGAUAUGGCAUUCAGCAUUCUUAAGCAAACUACAACUGCAUAAGGCUUGUACAUGUAGGGGAGACGUAGGAAGAACUGCAUGAAUUUGAUCUCAAAGGGGUACCACCUCAUAUGCCUACAGGAGAUACAUGACCAGUGAUGGUUGUUCUAUCCACAAAAUUAGCUAACAUACGACUAUUUUAUUCAACUACCAUUUCAGGAUAUGAGUUCUCCUAGCCACACUCAAAAGCCCUAGCCGCUAUAUGAACAAAGCACCUAAAAAAUUAAUCACCUACCUAAUCUAAUUCAGGAAAUUUUGGUCAAAAUCUCCUACAAUGAAACGAGUUAUUUGAAUGCAUAGACAGGAAAUUCAGGUAAACACACACACACCCCCCUGAUCAUAAAUUUCCUAAAGAAAUUCUGAAUUGUAACAUUGGUAAACAAAGUGUGACAAUAUCAUCACAUUAAAAAUGCAUUUCACUCAAAACAAAUACUAGCUCAAGAAAAAAAAUUGCAAGAAGCCAAUAGAGAAUAAAGUAAGCAGUCCAUAAACAAGAGACAGAGAGACAUUGUUCCAAUACAGAAAAGUAAUUAAAACCCAACAACUAAAACUGAGAAAGAAUCAAACCAGUGAGUAACUAAUCCUUUUAAAGCAUUCCAAGAAUGGCAACCAAAUGUAACAUAAUCAACCUGCAAAAACAAACACAAAAAGAAUUAGAAGAAGAAACCCCAUUAGUUAAUAAGUUAAAACAGCAGCAGCAGCAAAAAGACUCAAAUUUUAGUUAUUUGGACUUGAGAAAAAGCACUGAACCCUCUGUGAAAAUGCCAUGAAAGGGGUGCUAAGAAACCAGGAAAAUAAAAACUUUUAAAAGGGUGUUUUUACAAAGCAAGAAAGAAGCUAGGAAGCAAGCCAGCCUACCCUCACGAACUCUGUUUGUUAAUUGUUUUUUCUCCUUUGAAGUGAAAACAAAAAAAGAAAAAAAAAACGAAGAGCACCCGGAAAAUCUAGUCAGAAAUAUUUUAUGUUGUUGUCUUGGAGUGACGCAGAUACCGAGGAACAGUUGUGGGGCCACCAUUGGUGAGCAGUGAUACAGUGGCAAGUAUGUGAAAUAACGCAUAUUACAGUGCGCAAUGAUAGAGUGAGUCUGGGUGGACAAACUUUUGGUGGUACACGUGGUGCUUAAUGAUUUGACGGCUAUGGAGAGAAGUUACAUGAGGGAAAUAAGAUGGAAAAAGUGGCCUCUCUAGAUUUUGGAAAUGUUCUCUGAAGAAAGAAAGAAAAUAAUUUCAAAGGUGGACAAAAAUAGGGUAAUAUCAGAUUUGGAACAUAAUCUUGGUUGGUGAAGAAUAACAUAAUCUAAGGAGAAAUCUAGGGAAAGCCAGUGAGAUUUGAGCUUCGAUUUGGGACCAAUUUAUAGCUGGAUAAUACCAUCAUGGGUUAUCAGAUUCUGUGUGUGUGAGGCUGCCAUAUGUUUCUUUCUUCUAUGAUGGAUAAAAAACGCUAAGCAAUUAACCCACCUAGUAAAAAAGGUAUUAUGGUUAUGAUAAAAACUCUACAGCCUGUGAUUCUAUUUUUGAAGAUAUUCUUAUUAUAUUUAUAAUUAUAAGAAUCUUUAAAAAAGACACGGGUAAAAUAUUAUUCUCACAUCACUAUUCACUGGUGUUAUCGGCUUAAAUUGAUAGAUAAUUAAGUAAAUUUAUUGAGGAAAAGCAAAAUUUAAAUAUAGAUAAUCAAAGUGAAAACAAAAGCGCAAAAAAAGAUGGUAGUUUCAUGAUUGAAGUUAAAAAUUCACUUUGAUUCUUAUUUUUUUUUAAUCAAUAAAAAAUUCGGCAGAGUUUUCUCUAUAUUUUUAGGUAUCAAGUUAUCGACUUUUCAUCUACAAUCCCUAAUUAUCAAAUUUCUUACUCAUCCUAUCAUCCAGGACUUCCUCCUCUCAUUACAUCACAACUUCUAAAUAAUCAAAUUCACACAUGUCUAAACAAUUCAAUAUCCCACAUUUACAUGGAUACAAUCCAAAGAAUUGUUCUACAAAUUAUAACUGAAGUACAUUACACAAUUCAAAAAUUUACAAAUAAGGACCAUUAACGAAAUUAUAAUCGAAAUAAGUACGUAAUUAAAGAAGAAAUUCAUAAUUAAGAUUAUACUACACAAAAGAGCUUUCGAUAAACUGUUGACGCAUUAUAUUACAUAACAAAAUGAUAAAUUCAUUCAUUACAAAAAAAAAAAUACCAAACAAAAUAUAAGAAAACUAAUCUACUGUUCAAUCCGAUAGGGGGAUGUACCUGAAAAUUAAUUUAAUACAAUAAUUCGAUUAGACAGAUGAAGAAAAGAUAUCCAUAAAAUUCUUUUUACUUUCUUUCUUUCUUCCUUUUUUUUUUUUUUGAAAAUUUAGUCAAAAGAUCAUUAAAUUAACUUGCUCAUAUAGUAUUAUAUAUAUCAAUUAAAUUUCAGAAUAAUCUAUUAGUUUGUUUUCUUUUUCUUUUUUAACAUCAACCAAAAAAAUAAUUAUUCUCAUCGCCCAAUUAACCCGGCAUUACUUUCACUAAUAGAUGAUUAAUUUUCCACCAGUCCAUUCAACAAGCACUAUUGUCAUCAAUCCAAAAAUUAGUUUAACGUUUAAUCCAUUCAUCAGGGUACAAAUCCCAUUAACCAGGAAAAUUAAUUCUUCAUCUCGCCUAUUAAUUUGUCAGGGCACUAAUUCUAUUAAAUCAGGAAUUAGUUCAACAAUUUACCCAUUAACCAAGGACUUAAUUCCUCAUCACGCCCAUUCACUAGGACAUUAAUCCCAUUAGUUCAAGAAUUAAUUCAUCACAUCGCAUAUCUUAUUUUUUAAAAUAAACAAUAAAAUAAUUACUAAUUUAUCAACCAUAAUUAAUCAAAUAAAAAUACAUAUUAACCAAUAAUAAAUUCGGGCACCGUGUAAUUACCUAACGACUAAGCUCGAGCUGAAAUUCCCUGCUGUGGUGUCAGCCUGACAGCUUCUCUUGAAUUGACAAAUAUAUCACAUCAUUAUUCUACUUUCCAUAUUGAAACACUCAAUAAAUAAAAUCAUUCCAAUUAUCCUUUUAUUUAUCAAAAUAAAAUCAUUUUGUAAAUUUCCUUCCUAUUCUUCCAAUUUCCACAUUGUAACACAAUUCAUUUCAUCAUUCAAAUCAAUAUAUAUAUAUAUUCUUUAAAUUUAUUUAUUUAUUUUUUACCGUAAUUUAAAUCAAAGAAAAACAUAAAAACAUUUCAUGAUCUAUUCACUCUUUAACAUUAAUAUCAUCUCUUUCUUACACAAUCUCAUCAUCUUAUCAAAAUUCUUAAAUUUUUAUUUUUCUUAUUAUUAUUUUUCCAAAAAUCCCUUCUUCAAGAACACCUAAAAUUUUGCUUUAAUUACCAUAAUUUCUUACUUUCUCUACUCACUUCAAUAAUCUUAACACAAUUUCACAAUCAAUUGUAAUUUUUCAUAAAAUUUAUCAUGAACCCUAAUUCUUCAAUUCACAAAGUUCAAUCAAUUUAAAACAUAAAUUCUUCAAGAAUCUUAUUUAAAAGUGUAAGGGCACCUUACCAAGCAAUAACCAAAGCCUUAACACUUUUAAAUUAAGAAAUUUUCCUUGCUUGAAUUUGUUUUUCCUCUCCUAGCCGAAUGCUUCCUUCUCUUUGAAAAAGCAAGUUUGUUCUUUUUUUUUUUGGCUUCCUUACAACACACACUCACUUGCACUCAUAUAUAUCAAUUUUUUCUCCCCCCCCCCUCCCCUUCCCCCCCACACUUACACACAUAUAAUUACUUAACUUUUAAAAAAUGCCUUUUAUAUCCCUCAAUACUAAAUUUUAUGAUUUUUGGGUAAAAUUUCAUGAAUCCUGACUCCUGUUUAUACCAAAUUUUACACGGGUUAUUUCAAAUUUCACUCAAUUACUCGUUAGUACUUUCAGUUUCAUGAAAUUCACUUUCAUAAAAAUUCUAUUCAUAUUUUUGUGUUUUUUUAUUUAUUUUUAUAUAUAUAUUACUAUUUAUCUGGUAUCAGAGCCUAUUGGGAUCUGGGUGGGAAUAGUAACAUAAAAGCCAGUAUUCUUAGAAAGAACAAGAGACCAUUAGACUAUAGGUAUGCAACUGAAUGGUGUAAGUCCCGUUUGAGUUUUAGGGCAAUAAAUCCAUAUAACUUGCAGCGUGUUCCCUAGUUUAUCUUUCCUUUCUAUGGAUUCCGUCUUUCACAGGACUACUUCUCUUUCAGCUUCCUCUACCUCUGAAUCUUCUGAAAGCAGAAGAAUAGUACAAAGUGAAGAGAUAACUAUUGAAGACUUUACAAAAAACAUUGAUGACUGGAAAAUUCCAAAAAUUUCUCAAACUCAGAUUUAUCAAAAAUCUAAAUAUGAUAUUUUCAAAACAGAUUUUACUAUCAAAACUGAAGAGCGAGAUAUUCAGCUUACCAAACCUUUUGAAACCAUUCAACUCCUCUCUCAAAAAUCCUUACAAAAACAUCUAGCCCGAAACUAUAAAUAUAUUCAUGUUGGCCUUGUCCAGAUUGGAAUAAAACCCCUUACAAAAGAAGGCUUAAACACCUCUAUUCUAGCUGUCCUCCGUAAUGCUAGAUUUCAAAACUUCCAAGACUCCCUCCUCAGUUCUAUUGAGUCUAGUCUUUGCAGUGGGCCGAUAUCAUUUGACUGUUAUCCAAACAUAACCAUACCCCUCAAAGACAAAAAUAUCUUGCAGAGUAUGCUACUACAAAUAAAGACCCACAACUAUGACAUGCUAAAAGGAUCUAUCCCUGUUGCUCUCAUAUUCAAAAUCCAUUACAAAGCCAUGUUCUCAGCCUUUGCCAGCAAAGACAAAUUCCAAUCUCAAAAAGGUGAAACACUCCUACUACAAACAGAUUUAUCCCGCUCAAACACUGUUGUCCCAAAAGCAAUCCAAUGGAAAGACAUAUCCCUACCAGAAGAUUGGAUCCUUGAAGGUGCAGCACCACCAGAACUACCACCACCACCUCAACCCAAUGUCCAAAUUAAAAAUAUUACCCAAUAUACAGAUGGAAAAGUGAAACUGUCUUUCCACCGACACUCUACAAGUUCCAGAUUCUCAGAAGCCUCUUCCUCUUCCAGUACAAUAGAUUUGGGAAGAAUUUCCAAAAUCCCUUCUGUUAUCAAUAUCCCUUAUCACGAAAACCUUCCAAGAAAAUCUACAUCCGAUAUCCCUUCUCCUAGUUUCCAAAAUGCAGACUAUACUACAAAUAUACCAAAACCUGUCUAUACAAACCUUGAGCAACCAUCUCCUCCAACUUCACCGACCUUUUCAGCUAUUACUGAAAAUAUCCAAAACGAGCUGAAUGUUUUGACUUCAGAGAAACAUUUCGUUCUUGACAAAACACUUUUCAAAAAGGAUUUCUAUUCGGCCUGUAACUCUACAAAACGAAUUUGGUUUUUUCAAAACUUUCUCGAGCAAAGAAGUGAAAUACAAAAACAAUUUUAUAAUUUCAUUGAGCUACAUAAAAUACAAAUUCUAUUCUUUGAUUGAUUCGAAUUAUAUUAUGCAUCUGAACAUCACAUUUCAUAUCCUUUUGCAUCAAUUAAGCAUGCAUGCCCGGUCACAUCCAGGUCAAAAACCCAUGUAUGGAACCUCACCAGUGGACCUACAGUUGAGUCUGAACAUCCACAUUUGAGAAAUAUCCAAAUAACCCAUAAUAACCAGACUGUCGAGGCAGCCCCUUACAAAAUAUCCACUGAUGACACCCUUUCCAAUACAAAACACAUCAUUAACCAAAACAACUUUACAAACACCAACCUUAAUACCUUGGGAAAACAGCUUACACGGCUUGAGAAACAAAUACAAAGAACUGCUACAAGUUCAGCUGGCAUUAAAACCUCAACCGACUUAAAGCUAAAAAACCCAGUCUUCAAACCCUACCAAAUUACAAAAACCAGCCAAACACAGAUCCAAGAAAACCAAACAGAUUUUCUUAAAGCUAUUAAAACGCAUCUACAACACCUUGACAGUUCAUCUUUAACUGUCCCUGACACACCACAAAUAACCAACCCUUCUACCUCUACAAAUCAAGUCAACACUUUACAGAAUAGUCCUCAGGAAUCUUCUGAUGAAGGUACUUCUCCACGAAAACCUCUUACCCUAAACAGACUUACCUGGCAAACUCCCAAAACAACCAUUGCCCCAGACAUUUCCAUAACUACUGAACCAACUAUUCUUACUCAACACAAGUAUAAUGCCUCUUCCCUCUAUGAAUGGAAUAUAGAUGGAAUGUCCGAAUAUAAUAUCCUAAACACUCUCCAACAAAUGACCAUGGCAGCGAAUGCUUACAAAACCCAGACAGGAACCCCAGAUAAAGCUAUUGCUGAGCUCCUUAUUAAUGGUUUCUCCGGCCAAUUAAAAGGAUGGUGGGAUUACCAUCUCACUGACACUGAUCACCUGCAUAUCCUAAACUCCUUCCAAACAUAUGAGGACCAAACACCCAUCCUUGACCCAUUCGGAAACACCAUCCAAGACGUUGUGUCAACCCUUAUUCUUACAAUUUCCCUACAUUUUGUUGGAGAUCCUUCACAUUUGAAAGACAAAAAUGUUGAACUCCUUUCCAACCUUAGAUGCAAGAAACUAAGUGACUUUCAAUGGUACAAAAACACCUUCCUUACCCGUGUCAUGCUUAGGGAAGAUUCAAACCAACCCUUUUGGAAAGAAAAAUUCCUUGCAGGACUACCUAUUCUCUUAGGAGAAAAGGUUAGAAACAAAAUCAAAGAUACCUUCACAACAAAAACCAUCCCAUAUGACCAGCUCACAUACGGUGAACUUGUAAGCAUUACUCAAAAGGAAGGUCUGAAGAUCUGUCAAGAUCUUAAACUCCAGAAGCACCUAAAGUGGGAAAUGAAACGUACCAGGCAAGAACUUGGUAGUUUCUGUCACCAGUUCGACCUUUCCACCAAAAAACCCUCCUGUAACGGAAACUGUUCACAUCCCAAAAAAUAUUCAAGCCAGAGACCUCCUUAUAAACGAUCACUACAUAAAAACCGACAACAAUUCUAUUCUAAACCAGAUCAACCUUACUACAAAAAGCCCUAUAAAUUUACCAAGCCCCACAAACCUUUCCAGUCGAAACCUAAAACAAAAUUUGAUCCCAAAAACAUUACCUGUUAUAAAUGCAACCAGAAAGGACAUACAUCCCGUUUCUGCAAGGUCAAUACUAAACUUCAUGAACUCCAAAUAGAUGAAGACACCAUCAACCAAAUACAAAAUCUCUACAUUGAGGCUACAGACACUGACCACUCUCCUUCAGACACUUCUGAAGAAGAAUUCCAAAUCGAUGAAAUAGCAACCACCAGUGCUACUUCAGAUGCCUCUACAAAUUCCAAACAAUUCAACGUCUUGACCCAAGAUCAAGAGUUCAUUCUUGAGGCUAUCAAACGACUUGAUGAUCCUCAACUUCAAAAAACCUAUUUGGAUAAAUUAUUGAAAGACUUCAGCCAACCGGAGCACCCCCAGUCUAACCGCUCUAUAUUAACUUCUGCCAGCACCAAUACCUAUGAUCUUACAAAAAUUCUUGGCAGAAAGAAAUCCAAAACCACAGUCACCAUUCCAGAACUACAGUCUGAGAUAAAAACCCUCAAAUCAGAAUUGCAAAUCCUCAAACAAGCCCAACAGAAAGACUCUGCCAUACUACAACAUCUUCUGUCCAAAAUUGAAAGCCCGUCUGAUACUGAGUCUGAUACAGAGGAUCAAACCAUUGAAUCUCAUGCAUUACCACAUACACUUACAAAUAUUGAGCAUAUUCCAGAUGAUUUCUUAAACGUUCUAACCCAAAUAUCUUCCAAGAAAUAUUUAAUUCGAAUUACUCUUGUUUUCUCAGAAGAUUUCAAGCUUGAUACUAUUGCCUUAUUUGACACAGGUGCAGAUUUGAACUGUAUCAAAGAAGGCGUGGUUCCAAAAAGAUUUUUACAAAAUACCUAUGAAAAACUCUCUGCUGCUAACAAUUCCAAAUUACACAUUGCAGGCAAAACCCAAGCCUCUGUUUUCAAUAACGACAUUUCUCUUAAAACAUUUUUUGUUGUUACAAAAGACAUCAAUCAUACCAUCAUUCUUGGCACUCCAUUUAUUGACAUGAUCACUCCAUAUCAAGCACGUCAUAACUGUAUUACUUCCAAAAUUAAUAACACCAAACUUGUUUUUUCAUUCUUAGAAAAAUCUAAGACUAGGAAUUUAAAUUUAAUUAAAGCAUGUUCCAUACAUACCUGUCAUAUCAAUGCACUAAUUCAUGGGAAACAAUUCCAUCUACAUGAUUUACAAAACCAUGUUUCUUUUUGUCGUAUCAACAAACAAUUACAAAGUUCUGAUUUACAAAAGAAAAUCAUUGAUUUCCAAAAUAAGAUUGAACAACAGAUAUGUUCAGACUUACCCAAUGCUUUUUGGAAGCGAAAACAACACAUCGUUGAUCUUCCUUAUGAAGAUACAUUUUCAGAAAAACUAAUCCCUACAAAAGCAAGACCUAUACAAAUGAAUGCUGACUUAGAACAGCAUUGCAGACUUGAAAUCCACGAUCUCGAGUCUAAAGGUCUUAUCCAAAAGUCUAGAUCACCCUGGUCGUGUGCGGCCUUUUAUGUCAAUACAAAUUCUGAAAUUGAAAGGGGCACACCAAGACUUGUGAUCAAUUACAAACCUCUCAAUUCUGCUUUAAAAUGGAUCAGGUAUCCAAUCCCAAACAAAAAAGAUUUAUUACAAAAAUUGCACUCCGCAUUCAUAUUUUCUAAGUUUGAUAUGAAAUCUGGAUUUUGGCAAAUCCAAAUUGAUCCCAAAGAUAGGUACAAAACUGCUUUUACAGUUCCUUUUGGCCAAUAUGAAUGGAAUGUCACUCAAAAAUACACCAUCCGAAUUUCAACGCAUCAUGAAUGACAUAUUCAAUGCACAUUCAAAAUUCUGCAUUGUUUACAUUGAUGACGUGCUCAUUUUUUCACAUUCCAUAGAACAACAUUUCAAGCAUCUACAUAUAUUUUUUCAUACUGCCAAACAAAAUGGUUUAGUUGUUUCUAAAACAAAAAUUUCUCUUUUUCAAACCCGUGUCCGUUUCCUCGGUCAUUACAUCUGCCAAGGUACCGUAAUACCAAUAGAGAGAUCUUUAAACUUUACAAAUAAAUUUCCUGACAAAAUCACUGAUAAAACCCAAUUGCAAAGAUUCUUAGGAAGUCUUAAUUAUGUCUUGGACUACUAUCCCAAUAUUAGUCGUCUAUCCAAACCCUUACAUGACAGGUUAAAAACCAACCCCAUUCCUUGGUCUGACCUCCAUACCAAUCUAGUCAAACAGAUUAAGAAACAGGUCCAAACUAUUCCUCUCCUCCAUUUAGCUAACCCUUUAGCCCCUAAGAUUGUUGAGACUAACGCCUCUGACCUAGGGUAUGGUGGAAUUCUUAAACAGUUACAAGAUAACAAAGAACAAAUAAUCCAGUACACAUCUGCCCACUGGAAUGACUGCCAGAAAAAUUACUCUACUAUUAAAAAGGAAAUCCUUUCAAUUGUUCUUUGUAUUACAAAAUUUCAAAGUGAUUUAUUAAACCAAAAAUUUCUCUUACAUGUUGACUGCAAAUCUGCAAAAGAAGUUCUCUAAAAAGAUGUCCAAAAUCUUGCUUCCAAACAAAUCUUUGCCAGAUGGCAAGCCAUUUUAAGUAUCUUUGAUUUUGAUAUUGUUUACAUUAAAGGAGAAUCAAAUUCCAUCCCUGAUUUCCUAACCCGAGAAUUCCUUCAAAACAGGUCUUGAUGCCUCCUAAAGCAAAAGCCAAGGACAAGGGAAAAGCCCCUCAAACACAGCCUACAAAACCAGAGAGCCCCAAGCCUUCUACAAAACUCAUGUCUUCCGCCAUCCUCGCUGCCAAGCCUAUCAAAUCUUGGUAUGAGGCAGUUAUUGAAGAUGAAGAAACUACAAAACCACCACAAGUACAAACAGACGCAGUUCAACAUUGGGUUGACACUAUAUCCAAAUCGCCAGAAUUACUCCUGGCAUUGCAAAAAGUAUCCCAACAAGCCUCCAGUGACUCCGUGUCUCAAACAGGUAGUAUUUCCAAAUCACUUUCAAAACCCCAAGGAGGCAUUUUAUCUUCAAAACCCCUCCUUUCCUUACAACAAACAAGUUUUCCAAAAACCAAAUCCAAAUAUAUUUUCAAAAAUGCUUUCCAAAACAUUUUAACUAUGGAAGAAGGAUUUUACCAUGAAAACCCUUCCAUUGCUGCUUCAAAAAUAUUCCCUCCAAAAUGGCACUAUAAACCUUGAAAUCUAGCUCAACCACAAUCCUAUUAUGCAACUAUCCUUGAAAUUACCGAUUCUAUCGAAUUCAAACACUUCAAAUUACAUUCUGAUCACACUGAACCAGCUUACUCUACAUGCAUUAUUCACAAAGUCAUCCACCCUAAAGAUUGGGGACAACCCCUGCAUCAACCUCUCUCCUUCCCAAUACAAUACCGCACAAGCCCCCAAGACUUCAAUACCUCCUACACAUAUUGGGAUUACCAACAGGCAUGGUUUAAUGCCUUCCUCAUACAAAAUCAAAAUCAUAGCCAUUCUUGGCUCUUCUACUUCCACAAUACCAUGAAUACUACAAAUCUCUCCCUCUGGUUCCUUCAAUGGUGGGACUUUUAUGGUUGUCAUGUUGAUUACCUUAAAGAACAUCCUUUAGUUGAAAAUGGUUAUCUACAUUUCAAAAACAAUUUCCAACCAGCUCCCUCUGAAAGAAAGUUUUCUUCCCUCCUUAUCUUCUAUACAAAAUUUUUUGUUCCGUGGGUAUGUUCAUGGUUCUUUGAUUAUAAUUUACAAAACGGACAUCCAGUACUUAUUCGCAAAUUCAAAAUCAAGUGGUGGGAUUCCUUUGCAGCUGAGUCCAAAAGUUCAAAAUUAGCUGUUACGGAAUGGUUACAAAAACAUCAAACAACUCCCAUCAUCGAUCCUCAUCCUCAAUCAAAGUUCUUAGCCAGAAAGGCCCAAACGGCAGCUCUCCUUGCCUCUGCUAGAACUGAGGAAGAAUACCUACAAAUAGUACAAGGAAUUAUGCAAAGCCAAGACCCAGAAACAGUCUUGUCCCAAUCCAGCUCAUCUGGCUCAACAUCUCCUGCCAUUUCCCUCGACAAUGAUAAUGAAGAUGACUGUUUUGGUAUCCUGCCAUCUAUCACGUGACGUUAAAAAAAAAUAAAAAAAAAAAGAGUAUUUCAGGUCUUUUUAAGGCUCAUCUGUUUAGAGCCCAUUUUGGUCUUUUUUAAUGCUCAUCUGUUUAGAGCCCAUUUUGGUCUUUUUUAAGGCUCAUCUGUUUAGAGCCCAUUUUGGUCUUUUUAAGGCUCAUCUGUUUAAGAGCCCAUUUCUUUUAGACUCAGAUGUUUUGAGUCGUUUUUCGGCCUAUCUGUUUUAAGGCCUUUUUCUACAAAAGUUACUAGUUACUACAAACCCACCAAUCAAGUGUCGGUGGCAAGACGACAACAAACGAAGCUCAACCAAAAACGUGGACAAUUUCCAUUUUGUCGCCAUCCAAUCAAGGCAGACAGCACCACAUGGGCUUCUAUAGGUUCUGCCAAAUGCCACAUAGGUUCACAUGGGUCCUGAAGAGCUUCUCCAACAGGACAAUUUGGCCUCUUCCAUGCCAACUCGCCUAUAAAAGGCCACUUCAAAACCCUUAGAGGGCGGACUAAUCUUUCCCCUAGAAAAAAUUUACUCUCCCCUAAAAAUUUGUAACCCAUUCUCCUCUGUAACCAAUAUCUCCUGUCUUAAUUUUGUUACAAAUUUAAGUAAGAUAAUCUUAUUUUUAUCUACGUUUUUGUUAUAUCUGUUGUUGUUCUUUUUGUUACUUUUAAGUAUGCUCUGUGUUUGAUCAAGGAUCCUGACAUUGUUGGUCUUGCCUUGAUCAUUCGCAUCAGAAAUCUGUUUAUAUUGUUCUUUUCUUUGUUCUUUUAUACAAUCAGUAUAUAGGCUGGAAACCUAUGACCCGAUCUUUUAAAGAUCAUUCUCAGGUAUAACAACGCCACGUACUGUUUACUAUUUAUCUGUUUACUAUUUAUCUGUUCCUGUUUACUAUUAUAUAUAUAUAUAUUAACACCCGAACAAAACACUUCAAUUCAGAUUCUCGAAUAUAUCAUCAUUCUUAUAAUUUAAUUUAUCACUUUCCCUCAUUUUUCGUAAUCUUAACUUUUAUUAAUAUCAAUAAUAUUACCCGAGGUUUUAUAGUCUCAGUUGACACUGAUUUUCACCAUAAAAAAUGGUCGAUUUUUGUUUUAAUGAGUUUCAUUUGAUGAAGAGAGUUUCAUUGAAUUUUUUUUUUCCCUUGAAAUUGCCAAAAAAUUUAUGGUUUUUGGGCUAUUUUAUUAGUUUAUUACAUCAUAAAGACCAUUUUUAGGUGUUUUGGUGUGAACUUUGCUUAAAUUUGCAUUUUCGGGUCAAAAACACCCUGCUUAAUUUUCUAGUCACCUCUCCAAUGGUCAAGAACAGGAAAGUCUCGGUAGGUGACAUGUCGCUUUUUUUUUCAAAAUUAUUUGGAGCAUUUUCAAAUAAAAAAAGGCCCAUAUGUACCAACCCUUUUUAAAAUGGGCUUGAUGUGUAGGCCUGACUUACUAGGCCCAAAAGCACUUGAUCUAUUUCUAUUUUUUAAAAAAUUUUGUUUUCUUAAUUGAUAUUUUUUUUUAUGUAUUUUUAAUGAAUUUUUGAAUUUAUAUUUAAAUUAAUACUUUUCUCUCUAAAUAUUUAGAUUGUUUAUUUAGUUUUUUUUUUAAAUAUAGGUUAUCUUUUACUUAUCUUUUAUGUAUUUAAUAUCUAGAAAAAAUUAUUUCAAUUCAUCUAUAUGGUUUUUUUAUAUUUUAUAUGAAUAAACUUUAUUUUCAUGGCGUGUUUAUAAAAAUAAGAAUUAUUUGUUCUUGGUAAGAAAAAGUGACCUUUAAGAUAAAAAAAAAAAAAGAAGAAGAAAAGGAGAAAAGUGUGUAUGAAGAGGAAAGUUAAGGUUAAGUAUCAUAUUUAUGUAUCUUUUACUUUUAUGAAAAUGAUUAUCAUUUUAUUUUAUAAUUUGAUUGGCAUUAAGAACUCUUUAUUAGUUUAUUAGUUCAUAUUUUUGUAAGAUUUGUUUUUUACAUUUCUCAAUUAAGAGAAUCGUAAUACAAUGAAAUGCACUUGAAACAUUGUCCUAUUUUUCUACUACAUUAAAAAUUAACUUAAGAUCCUAUAUGUGGCACGAUGCGUUAACAACUAUUUUUUGUAUUUAUAAACACUUAUGGUCCUUACUUUAUUUUUAUUAUAUGUAAACAUCAACUUUUUUAUUCACAAUUAUAAUUUUCUCUUGAUUUUUAAAAAUACAUUAACAACAUUUAUACAUUUUUCUUUUGCGUUCAAAACAUUAUCUGACUCGUAGCAAAAUGAAUUAAAUAAACAUGUCAACACUUUUUUUUUGUAUUUAUGAUUAGGAUUUGUUUUUGUUAAAAAUGCAAUUGAAAAGCAUACAAAUUUAUUUUUUUGCUAAAAACAAUUUUGUGAUCCAUAACAAAGUACGAGUUAAAUAACUACUAAUAUGGCUAUAGUAAGUCUUUUAGUAUAUAUGGAUGUAGGAAGCAAUGUGUUAUAUUAUUAGUUAGAUAUAACUUACCUAUUCAUUAUUAAAAAAACAUAAAAUAAAUAAAUAUAUUAAUAGAAACCUAAAAGAGAUCGGCUGAAAUAUAAUAUUUUUGUCCUUUUUUUAUUUUGUUUCACAUUUCUCAAUUAAGAGAAUCAUGAUAUAAUGAAAUGUAUUUGAAACACCGUCCCAUUUUUCUACUACAUUAAAAAUUAACUUCCUACAUGUGGCGCGUUGCGUUAACAAUUGUUUUUGUAUUUAUUAACAUAUAUGAUCUCAAGUUUAUUUUAUUAUAUGUAAAUAUUAACUUUUUUUAUUCACAAUUAUAUUUUUUCCUCUCGAUAUAAAAAAAAUACAUUAACAACACUUAUACAUCCAUUCUUUUGUGUUGGAAAAUAUUAUUUGACCCAUAGCGAAGCGAGUUAAAUAAACACGUCAAUAUCUUUUUUUGUAUUUGUGAUUAGGGUUUAUUUUUUUUUUGUUAAAAAAAUACAUUUGAAAAGCAUUUAUAUUUAUUUAUUUUGCUAAAAAACAUUUCUUACCUUUAGUAAAGUGUGAGUCAAAUAACUACUAAUAUGGCUAUAGUGAGUGUCUUUUUAUACAGUAUACUUGGAUGUAGGUAGCAAUGUAUUAUAUUAUUAGUUAGAUAUAACUUACCUAUUCAUUAUUAAAAAAAACAUAAAAUAAAUAAAUAUAUUAAUAGAAACCUAAAAGAGAUCGGCUGAAACAACAUAGUCUCCAAGAGGAAAUAUUGUGAAUUCACACAAUGUUUACUUUCUUUUUUUUUUGUCCUUUUUUUUAUUCAGUUAUCUUUGAUGAUGAAUUAAUAAAGAUUUGAGAUGGUUUAAUUUCACAAAAUUUUCUUUUAUUGUUUGUAAGAAAUUGAAAAUGAGAAGAUCAAAAUUAAAAUAAAUAAAAAACCAAAUUUUUUUUUAAAAAAAAUAUGGUGUCAACUUUGCUUUUUAUUUUUUGCUUUUAAUCAUCUAUUUUUUUUAUAUAAAAAAAUAAUCUUUCAAUAUUGUGUUAAUUAUUUAUUUAUAAAAAAUUAAUCUUUCAAUAUUGUGUUAAUUAGAAUUUGAAAUUGGUAAUUUUAUAUGAGCAUCUAGAACUAAAUAAAAAGCCGCACCAUUGGUUUGGUGCUCAACUUUACAAAUAAAAAAAAAAAUCGAUUGUAUUGUUUUAGAAAAAAUAAAAAGAUCAAAACUAAAACACGAAAAAAGAAAAGAAAAAAAGGAGGCCUUAAAAAAACAAAUUGUGUCAGCACCUCCAUGCAUUGUAAUUUUGAUAAAUCUUCUUUUUGGUAAUGAAACUUUUUUAUUCAAAACUUUUUGAUUCAAAACUUUAUUUUACUUGUAUUUUAAUUCUUGAGGAUGAGAAAGAAAAGAGAAAUUCAUCAAAAAAUUACUAAGAAAAGAGAAAAUUAGCGAAAGCCAGCAAGGUAUCUGCUCGAAAAAACAAAUGGGCAAGCAAACAUACGCCCUUACUUCUGGAGGCUUGUGCGAUAAUGGGCAAGCAUCAUUGUUUUUUUGGGGGCUUGUACGAUAAUGACUAAACACACAACAUUACAUUACUUCUAGCUUCUUCAGCAAACA
rnacentral:lncRNA from 1 species